rnacentral:lncRNA from 1 species
UGAUGAGAACAUAACCGAAGUAAACCGGUAUCAAUUAAGAUAAGGAUGAAACGAUGAGAAUAUCAUUUGUGAUCUUAUUGUUGUUAGUGGUUUUAGGUAGAUUAUGUUAAAUCUUCGAUUCAUGUCUAUCUCCUAUAUUCUAGGAUUGCGCUUAACAUGUAUAAAUACUCAUAACAUCUUAUGAUGAAAUAUAUGGAAAAAAUGUUUAAAGUCUAUUGUUCUUAUAAGCUCUUGAUUGGGACCUAUCAAUUGGUAUCAGAGCCUUCAUCUCGCUUUUGAUUCGGACCACUUUGUGGUAUCAAUAGCAACCUUCAUCCACUAUCUAUCUUGGUUUUGAUUCGGACCACACUUGUGGUAUCAAACCAUAUUUUUAUCAUCGUUCUCAGCUUUGAUCCGGACCACAUUUAUGGUAUCAAAAUCUAUAUCUUUCAUAUUAAAAAAAAUAGUAGCCACAGGAAGCUGCCCUUUGAUCUUCUAGUCAGAGAAGACGACACAAGCGAAGAAGAUGGGAAGAAGCUAUUAAGGAAGAUGCAUGAGGUUUCUUAUGAACUUUGAGGACAAAGUUCUUUUGGAGGGUGGAGUAUUGAUGAGAACAUAACCGAAGUAAACCGGUAUCAAUUAAGAUAAGGAUGAAACGAUGAGAAUAUCAUCAUUUGUGAUCUUAUUGUUGUUAGUAGAUUUAGGUAGAUUAUGUUAAAUCUUCGAUUCAUGUCUAUCUCCUAUAUUCUAGGAUUGCCCUUAACAUGUAUAAAUACUCAUAACAUCUUAUGAUGAAAUAUAUGGAAAAAAUGUUUAAAGUCUAUUGUUCUUAUAAGCUCUUGAUUGGGACCUAUCAGUCGUCAUCGUCAACAUCGGGUUCUUCUUCUUCCUCGACGCCUCAACUCUCCAUCCUGGGAAAUAAUUCUCCAAACAACCAAUCAAAUAAUAUCCCAGGCCCAAGCCCAACAAACACUUUAACCUCAAACACCUCAAGCCCAUCAGACACUUCUUCUAAUUCAAGCCCAACUACACCUUCUUCUUCAAGCCCAACUCCUUCUUCACCUUCUUCUUCCUCCACCACAUCCCAAAUUCCAAAUUCAGAACCCUCGUCAUCUCCUCCUCCACCCUUAUCUCCAAAUUCCUCCGUCGUACCUCUCCAACAACUACCACCAAAUACUCAUACCAUGACAACACGAUCGAAAAACCAUAUCGUUAAACCUAAUAAACGAUAUGCUCAUGUGAUGUCAAUUCCUGAACCAACUGUUCCCAAAACUUUGGCUGAGGCGUAGAAGGAUCCGAAUUGGAGAAAAGCGAUGUCUGAGGAACUUACUGCUCAAAUUUGUAAUGGCACUCACGAAUUGGUCCCUCCUACAAUGGCUUCGAAUGAUGUUGGAUGUAAGUGGAUUUUUACUCUCAAAUAUUUACAUGCUGGUUCCCUUGACAGCUAUAAGGUCAGACUUGUCAUCAACAGCAAGGUCGUGAUUAUCACGAUACUUUUAGCCCGGUCAUCAAAUCAACAACUGUUCUGGAUGUUCUUUAGGUUGCGGUGAACAGAGGCUGGCAUAUUAAGCAAAUUGAUGUUAAUAAUGCGUUCCUACAGAGUCGACUUUAUGAGGAAGUCUUUGUUGCUCAACCGCCGGGAUUCCUUGACCCUGAACAUCCUCAUUAUGUCUGUCGCCUCAAGAAAGCUUUGUAUGGCCUCAAGCAAGCACCACGUGUGUGGUACCAGGAGCUCCGGACACACUUACUUCGCCUUGGGUUUGUGAAUUCGGUUGCAGAUACUUCUCUAUUUAUUAAACGCAAGGGACAUGAAAUUGUUUAUAUCCUUGUUUAUGUCGACGACAUGUUGCUUACAGGGAGUAACACCAAGCUCCUCCUUGACAUUGUGAACUCCAUUGCAGCCCAGUUCUCUCUGAAGGAUCUUGGAGCAUUGAAAUACUUUCUUGGCAUUGAAGCGACCCGUACUUCUUCUGGUCUUCACUUACGUCAACAGAAGUAUAUUGUCAAUCUUCUUACGCAGACACGAAUGCUUAAUGCUAAACUGGUGCCUACUCCUAUAUCUCCCACUCUGAAACUGUCUCUCGUCUAGGUAAGAAGCUAGAUGACGCGCGUGAAUACAAAGCUAUUCUUGGUAGUCUGCAGUACCUCUCUUUCACUCGCCCGAACAUUGCGUUUGCGGUCAACCGUCUUUCUCAGUUUAUGCACAGCCCCACAUAUGAGCACUGGACUGCAGUGAAACGCAUUCUUCGCUACUUGGCUGGCACAUUGUCUCAUGGUAUUUUUAUUCGGCUAAACACGCCUAUCUCCGUUCACGCUGUCUCAAGUGCUCUUUAUGGAUACUCUGAUGCAGAUUGGGCUGGUGACACCGAUGACUUUCUGUCUACAACUGCCUAUUUGAUCUAUCUUGGGGGCAGUCCAAUUUCAUGGUCAUCCAAGAACAAAAGGGUGUGGCUCGCACAUCAACUGAGGCCAAGUACCGUGCGGUGGCGAAUACGGCUUCGGAAAUACGUUGGAUAACGUCUCUUCUAAAUGAGCUUGGUCUUGCUUUACCCGCCGCUCUGGUUAUCUAUUGCGAUAAUCUUGGUGCAACACACUUGGCUGUUAAUCCUAUAUUUCUUUCGCGAAUGAAACAUCUUGCACUGGACUACCAUUUCAUUCAGGAUAAUGUUCAGGCUGGUACGUUACGGGUAGCUCAUGUUUCGACUCAGCAUCAGCUUGCUGAUCCCUUGACAAAACCUUUACCCGGUUCAAAGUUCUAUGAAUUCAUGUCCAAGCUUGGACUCACCAAGGUUCCUCCAUCUUGAGGGGGCAUGUAGGUGAUAUGUAUGGAAAGGAUAGAUGAGUCUUUCAUAUUAACCUAUUCUCUCUUGUAUAUUCAGUAUAUAUAUUGUAAUAGCCUCUCAUAUGAAUAAUAUAACACAAUACAUUCUAUCUUAUAUAUUCUUGUGUAAGCUUAUGAUAUAUUUGGUAAUACUGUGUGGUUAACAAGCAUUGCUACUUAACUAACUGUGUGGCUUUGAGUCUCAGUGUGACAGUGGACAUGUUGUGUGCUCGUCGUGUUGUACUAAGAUGAUGAACAUAUGCCCUUCUUGUGAUGAUCCGAUUGGUGAAUUUCGAUGCUCUGUAAUGGAAAAAGUUGUUGAAGCAAUCGUUGUUCAAAGAGAUGAAGAAGAAGGGGAGAAUGGUGGAGGAACAUUGACUAGAAAUGUAGACGAUGAAGUGGUGAAAUCUGAGGCCCGAUCUCGAACGUUGUUUGAUCUGUGUCUUCUUGAUUGUCAUGUUUGCUCUAACGCACUCACGAGUCGUAUCUUUUAGGUAUUAUCUUCUUACUUUUUUCACCACUGCUCUUCAAAAUCUGAUGGAUGAUUCAAAACUUUGAUGUGCUAGAAGCAAAUGUUAAUUUCAUUACAGUCACCAAAAUGAUUUGCAAAUACCGAUAGAAUAUAUUCAUAAUGGAUGAUUCUUUCUUGCUAGAUAACAUAUGAAUUAUACCAGUUUUAGAUUUUUAUCAGCUUGUGUUUGGUUCUAGUUUCAUUGAGUUGUAAUCCAAGUAACUUACUCUGUGUGUAUUUAAAUUUGCUUCUCAGUGUGACAAUGUACAUAUAUCUUGUUCUUCUUGCUACACUAAACUGAGGCACAUAUGCCCUUCCUGCACUUUUCCCAUUGGUAUCAAUCGAUGCAGAUAAUGGAGAAAGUUGUCAAAGCAAUAAUUGUCCCAUGCCCAAACGCCAAACAUGGCUGCACCGAGACAUUCUCUUAUGGGAAAGAGUUAGUCCAUGAGAAGAAAUGCGUUUUCUCCAUGUUCUACUGUCCUGCGCCAAACUGCAACUACAGAGACUUAUAAAAGGAUCUCUACAUUCAUUUCCAUUAUACCCACUACAUGGACAUGGAGGAUAAUUCAAUUAUGGCCGUCCCAAUCAGGCAUGGUUGCGGAUAAGUGAGAAGAUCUUAGUUCUUCAAAAAUUGAAGAUUUCUGAUGAUGGUCCCCUUGUUGUGGUUCAGUGUUUCAAUGAUCCCGGAGGAUGGUAUGUGAAUGUGAACUGUAUUGCACCUUCUGCUCCAGGAGUUGGGGAAUAUUCCUAUGAUCUCAAGUACAGUACGCUUGCGGGAGGCGAAAAAACACAUUAUGAGGUUUUAUUCAUCCAAGAAAGUGAGCUUACUCGAUGGAUUGACAAACAAGUUCGGGACCGAAUAUCUUCAAUCUGGAGAGCCGGAGAUAGGUGGUAUAUAUGACGCGGGUUUUCAGUUGUGGAUCCGGUCUAGAAGCUAAAUUUGUUUCAGUUUUUUUCUAUAACUUUUAUCAGCAUCCUACUCUAUCAAACGAUGCACUAAUUGUACAAACGUUAUUUUUCUUUUGAAUAUAAUUUAACAUUAAAUUCAAAAAAAAAAACAAAGACUUUAGAGUAGCUAGUGAUUAUCAUGUCACAUAUUUUGUUGGUUGUUUUGUUCAAGAAUAUAUUUAUGGCCAGUUGCCUUCUCUUAUCUAUGCACGCUAGAUGUAUAUACUUUUAUGGCUCAUCGUUUUUACUUAAUGAUGUUUUUUUUUUAAUUGUAAUACAAGAUUCAGAUUUCUCUUCAUAAGUUCUUGGUACUUUAAUAACCAAAUCUCUUGAUACAAUAUAAGAAGCGUUACAACUUAUAAGAAGGGUUAAAAACCUUAAAAUCUGAAUCGAUAUAAACAUACCAAUUAACUAUUGUCUCUAUGGUGGAACUUCUCCUUGGCCUCCACGUUGUGAAAGACUUGGGUUUACACUACCCUUGAUCUCGAACAUGUUUUGAUCCCAAACCAAUUCUGCGAUUUAUAGACAAAGUCGCAAAGGAGACAAAAGAAGAUGUUUAAAUAUAGAACUAGACAAAGGAAGAUGUUUUAGUUUUCAUAACAAGAUAUACUUACUUGUACUGAGAGAUUUUCGAUCGUAGAGUGAUCGACCAGAGACUGUGUUUGAUGGUGAUGCAAAGAACAGAAGAAUUAUCAAUGUUAUGAACCGAAUCACCAUAUACAUAUUUGUUCGGUCUUUAGGUGUAAUUAAACUCUCUUUUUUUUUUCUCUUCUUCUCAAGGUCUGUAUAAAAUUUUUGAUCAAGUUUUAUAAAUAUUGUAAGAUGUAAUGUCUGUAUUUAAAUGUAGAGAAAGUGCACUAAUUAGUUUACAUCGUUAAAAGACCAACAGUACUUAAAAAAUGUAUUUUGACAAAUUCAAGAGUCAAAAUAAUAUAAUUUGACAAAUUCAAGCGUCAAAAUAUUAUUUUGUUGGUCCUUUUAUAUCGAUAGCGAAAUACAUAUUUCCUUUUUAUGAUGUUUUCUGUCGUCCUUCCGUAUAAUGUUUUCAAACUUUAUAGUUUGAUUAGACAAAUGACUUAGUCAAAUGAUUAGCGAUUUAUUUUUACAGCCUUCUCUCUAUCACAGUUAUAAUUUGGCAAAUCUUGUUAUCCGAAAAAUUGUUAAAAUCAACCCAAACUAUUUGUUAACAAAAUUUUUAUACCUAAAUUACGAUAUCCGAUAAAUAAAACCAAAUUCACUAAAAAUUCAAAUUCUCAAGCUAAACUAUAUGAAUGUAGCUAAAAUCAACAAAUGUCGAAACGGUAUUAGUUAACUGCUUAACAGUAAUAAGGGGGCAUCAGAGUUGAGUAAAAUGACGUUGUUUUGUCAGUUUAGACUUCUCGAAUGGAAGAUUCAAUGGAUGUUUGCUUUAACGAAUUUGAUUCUGCAAUGGUCAAGUUUUGUUGAUCCAAAACAUAUUAACAUGAACAAAAGAAAACUCAAACAAUAAAUAAAUCAUAUUUGUAUUUCUCUCAAACAAAUAUGUUAUUUUGAUUAGCAGUAUAUAUUAACUCGUAAGUGUUAAGAUCACACCGUUGAAUGCGUCUUGUUUAAAAAGAAAUUCCCAUGACUCGUUUAAUAAUAUAAAGAGAUUUGUAAUUAGACCUAAAAGUAUACAAGAUAUUUUAAAGGUAAAAAAAAACUGCAGAAUAUGUAUCUACUAAAACGUUCCCUCAAUUUAUAAUUCUAGAAAGUCUUAAUUUAACCUAUUUUGAAAUAUUUAACAUAGCAUAUAAAGAGGAUGAAUGUUAUUAUUAUUGAUAGUGAGUUUACACAUAUAUAUACAGACACUUAAGUAACCUAGAGAUAACUAAUUACAUUAAGACCCACAUAUCUAUACAUCCUUAUACACCCCCGCAAGAUGGAGGGACUCUUGUGACACCAAUCUUGUAACAUGCUGUAAGAAACUGCUGUCUAGAGAGAGGCUUAGUGAGUGCAUCUGCUAACUGGUUCUUCGUCGAGACAUGAGAGACCCGUAACGUACCAUCUUGAAUCUGAUUUCUAGUGAAGUGAUAGUUAAGAGCAAUAUGCUUCAUACGAGAGUGGAAUACCGGGUUUGCACAAAGAUAAGUAACCCCAAUGUUAUCACAAUAUAUAAUUGGUGGAGAGCGGAGAGUGAGACCCAUCUCGUUAAGUAGAGAACAAAGCCAGCGGAGUUCAGAGGCGGUGUUCGCAACAGCCCUAUACUCAGCUUCGGUGGAAGAACGAGUAACACCACGUUGUUUCUUAGAGCUCCAAGAAAUGGGACUAUGACCAAGAUAGAUGACAUAAGCAUUAGUUGAGACAUAGUCAUCAACAUCGCCAGCCCAAUCCGCAUCUGAAAAACCAUGUAGUGCCAGUGGUGAUGAGGCUCGAAGAAAAAUACCGUGUGUUGGAGUGCCCGCAAGAUACCGAAGAACACGUUUUGCAGCUUGCCAAUGAUCUGUGGUAGGUUUAUGCAUGAACUGCGACAAGCGGUUAACUGCAUAAGAAAUAUCCGGUCUAGUGAACGCAAGGUAUUGAAGACUGCCAACUACAGACCUAUAUUGAGAAGGAUCAUCGAGCAAAGAACCACUAUGUAACGACAGUUUAGGAGAAGGAGCCAACGGUGUCGCAACGGGUUUGGCUUCGUGCAUAUUGCUCUUUGUGAGAAGAUCGAGAAUAUACUUGCGUUGCAUCAAGUGAAGACCAGCUUUGGUUCGGGUCGCCUCUAUACCAAGAAAAUAAUGGAGAUCCGUGGGAUCUUUGAUGGAGAAGCGUUCACCAAAGGAAGUAAGCGUUUGUGUAACAAGGGCUGAAUUAUUUCCUGUGACAAGAAUAUCAUCAACGUAGACCAAGACAUAGACAAACGAGGUGCCAUUGCGCUUAAUGAACAAGGAUGUAUCAGCAAGAGAAUUGAUAAAACCCGUUUGGAGUAGAUGUUGCUUAAGUGACAAGUACCAAGCCCGGGGAGCUUGCUUCAAGCCGUAGAUCGGCUUCCGCAAACGACAUACAUGACUAGGCCUAUCGGGAUCAACAAAACCUUGCGGCUGCACCAUGUACACCUCUUCAGUUAAUUCACCUUGUAGGAAAGCAUUAUUAACGUCAAGUUGUUUGAUCGGCCAGGAUUGAGCCACCGCAACAUCAAGAACCAGCCUAAUUGUUGUUGUCUUGAUAACGGGACUAAACGUUUCAGCAUAAUCAACUCCAUGACGUUGAUGGAAGCCUUUAGCCACGAGCCUUGAUUUGUACCGAUUCAGCUGUCCAUUGGGAUGAUAUUUUGUCGUAUACACCCAUUUGGAACCGAUGACAUUUUGAGACGGAUGAGGAGGAACCAAGUCCCAUGUGUGAUUGCCUAGUUGAGCGUCAUAUUCAGCAGACAUAGACUUCCGCCAACGCUCAUCUUUUAAAGCUUGAGAGACUGUUCUAGGCUCCUUGGAACUGUUUGGACCUGCAACAUGAAGAUUAACUUUUUGUUUUGGUUUACGGAUAUUAUUUUUGGCUCUAGUUGUCAUUUUGUGGACAUUUUGAGGUGGUGCUUCAGGGACAGGAUUUUGUGGUUGCUGGGGCUGAGGUAUUUGAUGAUUUUCCGACGAAGAACGUCGAGGAGAGGGAAGAGCAGAGGUUGAAGGAAGAGGGUGAGGCUGAACCGUAGGUCGCGGUUUAUUUUGGACUUGAGCAGUGGGCUCAUUAGACACAAUGUUCUGGGCCUUGGUUUGAGGCCCAUUUUGGGGAGCAGUGGGCUCAGAAAAAUGAGAUGGAGAAGAAGAAGAGGAAGCGUGAGAGUUUAGAGGCGAUACCUGCGUUGACGGGGAGGAUGGCAGUGGAGACGUAGCAUCACGGUGAAGGUCUGAGCUGGGGGUUCCACUCGACGGUUGCACAGACGGUGGUGGCAGAGAGAUCGUAGUGACGAGCCGUGACACAGCUGGUGGUGUAUCAUCACAAGAAACAAUCGAAGCUUUCUUGUUGGUGCUAAACGGGAAGAUCGAUUCAUCAAAUUGAACAUGUCUCGAUGUAUAGACACGACCAGUCGCAACAUGAAGACAAUGAUAGGCACUCUGUGUGAGAGAGUAUCCAAGAAACACACACGGCUGAGAACGACUUUGAAGCUUAUGAGUUGUAUACGGCCUUAACCACGGAAAGCAGAGACAACCAAAAAUCUUGAGCUUGUGGAUGUUUGGUUGAACUUGAAACAGCUUGAAAAAUGGAGAUUGUUGACUAAGGACUGGUGUCGACAAGCGAUUGAUGAGGUAGACCGCUGUUGUGAAAGCAUAAGGCCAAUAGGAGGUUGGAAUCGACGCCGUAGAGAGAAGAGUAAGGCCCGUUUCAACAACAUGUCGAUGUUUCCGUUCAGCUAAACCAUUAUGUUCCGGUGUGUGUGGCGGAGAUGUUAAGUGAGAGAUGCCAUGAGUAGCUAGGAAACAGCGAAGAGCAAUGAACUCACCACCAUUAUCUGAAAAUAAUGUUCCAAUCCUUUGUUGAAAACGGUUCUCUACCAAUGAUUUAAACGCAACAAACACCUCCUUGACAUCAGAUUUUUGCUUUAGCGGAUAAAGCCAAGUAUAACGUGUAAAAUGGUCAACAAGCAGAAGAUAAUAUUUGUAAUUAUCAAUAGAGAGAACCGGAGACAUCCAGACAUCGGAAUAAACAUACUCAAGAGGGCGAGUAGACUGAAUUGUGUUUUGUGUAAAGGGAAGUUUGUGACUUUUAUUAAGAGAACAAUCUGAGCAAGAUAACUGUUUGUGAGAGGAACCAGAAACAGGGAGAGUAAAAGCUGAAAGCAUAGUGUUUAAAAUAGAAGAAGACGGAUGUCCUAAACGAGAGUGCCACACCGGAAGAGAAGCACGUGAACUUGUGAAAGUAGUGAAAGCAGUGACUUGUGUUGGUGAGACUGGCCAUUCAUAGAGUUCUUGCCUAGUUCUGCCUUGAAGAAGUGGAACCCCCGUACUGAGAUCCUUCACCUGAAAGGAAGCAGGGAAGAAUUCAACGGAGACACGAUUAGCAUUACAUAGCCGAUAUACCGAAAUCAAAUUUUUUUUAACAUCGGGAACACAUAGAACUUUAUUUAAAUAAAGAUCACGUGUAGAUGAGGGAAGAAUUUUGGAACCAGUGUGAGUAAUCGGCAUUGGUGAGCCAUUUGCAGCAAUAACAUCAUCACCCCCGUUAUACGGCUCAUGGAGAGAUAAAUUUGCUAAGUCUGAGGUCAUGUGAUGAGUGGCAGCACUAUCGAUGAGCCAAGGAUUUGGAUCGUAUGAGGAGCCGAUAGCAACAUUCGCACGUGGCUGCCAAGGACGGAAAGGACUGCUUGGAGGUUGAUACGUCACUGCACGGGACUGAAACUGCGGACACCAACGUGCACUGUGACCUUGAGUGUUACAAAUCUGACACUUGCCUUUGUAACCUCGAGACCCUUGUGUAGAAACAGCAGCUUGGUUGUACGAGGAGCCACCAUACGAAUUGUGAGACUGCUUCUUAUUGUUGUUGUUGUUGGUAGCGUUAGUGUUGUUGUUGUUAUUGUUGUAGCGACCGUUGUUGCGAUGACCUUGAGUAGCCACAUUUGCUGUGACUGGAAACACAGCAGGAGAAGCUUUAGCAAGAAGUUUGGCCUCUUGAUUGAGAAGACGCUCAUGAACAUGAGUGAGUGUCGGAGUCGUAUCACGAGCUGCAAUUUGGUCAACGACUGGCUUGUAUUCUUCAGGAAGGCCAUCGAGAAUAAGUUCGACUUGAUCAUCAAGGAUCACAGGACUUCCAAGGCUAUGCAAAGUAUCAAAACGUGUUGUAAACUUCUGUAAGUACUCAUCAAUGGUGAGAGUACCUUUAGUGAUCAGUUCCAACUGAUCCUUUAGUUGACGAACAUGGCCUCUGCUCGGUUUGGCGUAAGUUUCAGCUAAGGUAUUCCAGAUCUCAGCAGCACUUGUGGUUCUUGAGAGUGUGGACUGAACAGCAGGAGAAACAGAGCCAAGAAGAGCACUGUAGAGAAGCUUGUCUUGACGACUCCAGUGAAUAAACAGCGGAUUUGGAGAAACACCGUUAUUAGUGGUGACUGUAGCAGCAGGGAUCUCAACCGAUCCAUCAAGGUGACCUACAAGUCCAUGACCAUCAACAAGAGCGUGAACCUGCAAUUUCCACACAAUAUAGUUGGUUGGAGUGAGUUUGGUGAUGUUGGACAUGUUGAUCUGAAGAAGUGUUUGAUUGUUUGUGUUGAAAGGAAUGGACUCGAUGUUGCUGUUGGAACCUUCAAGUGUGGCGGCCAUGGUAGAAGACGGCAAAGAAAUUUUUUUUUUUUUUUUUUUUUGUGUGUUUUGUUUUAGGUUUUAAGGAGCGUACUGCUCUGAUACCAUAAAGAGGAUGAAUGUUAUUAUUAUUGAUAGUGAGUUUACACAUAUAUAUACAGACACUUAAGUAACCUAGAGAUAACUAAUUACAUUAAGACCCACAUAUCUAUACAUCCUUAUAGCAUAUACUAUAAUUUAUUGUAACAAGCUGAUAAGGUGGUGUGCUAGUAGUAGAACCAGCAUGGAUGAAAGGGUAAAACUCCCACGUCCCAAGGGACAUGGGAAUGUCAACACCUCUGUUAACAACGAAUCCAUAUGGUAGCACUUCGACGUGUUACCCUUAAGACGGAUUGGAUUAGUCGAUCAAAAAUUAAUAGUAAUAAUAAUAAUAAUGGUAACAAAUUAAAUAAGCUAAAUUUUUAUUUCCAAUGUUAAUGCCCAGAAAGGGAAAGGAAAAGAACAUGACAUUCUUUUAGAUUAGAGAGAGAGAUUUAAAAUAUGUUCUUGUUGGUGGGUAGUCUCUAAUGUCUAGCUCUAGGUGGACCUCUUUCGCCUCUUGGUGAACUUCUUUGGCCUCCAGGUGGUGAAACACUUGGGUUUACAGAACCCUUGAUCUCGAAAACUAGGACAUUUUGAUCCCAAACCUUUUCUGUUAUGUAUAGUUCAACAAAACAUAUCUUUAAAUACAAAUUUUAACCUAACUAAGAGACAAAAGAAGAUGUUUCUCAUAACUAGCUAGAUACUUACUUGUAUUGAGAGAUUUGUGAUCGUAUUGUAAUCGAGCAGAGACUGUGUUUGAUGAUGCAACGAACAGGAGAAUCAUCAAUGUUAUGAACCGAAUCGCCAUGUACAUUUUUCUUGGAUCUCAAGGUGUAAACUCUUCAAUUAAGUUAUGUAAGAUGUUGAGUCUGUAUUUAAAUGUAGAGGGAGUGCACUAAGGUUAAUCUUAAAUUUCGACGAAGAUAACUAUUGAUUUUUGAUUUGGAAUUUCAGUAAACACGUAUGCGUAAUUUUAUAUAUACUUUUUCGUAGAAAUUUUUACUUGGACUCUUGAAUUGGUCUAACAUUAUGACUUCAAGUAAUAUGGCGGUAAAUGUAGAUAGGUUUAAAAUAAUCAUAUUUAUACUAUAAUGAAUAAUCUUCCAGAAAGUGAUUACUAAUAAUGAUACGGAAAAAAACUUGGAAUAUUAUAUGAAGAACAAUCUAUUUUACUCACUCCCAAAUAUUACUCAUUCUUGUCGUGCUCAUGCCGAUUUUUUACUGUUUAGCUAAUAUUUCUAUAUCUUUAAUUUUUGAAAUUUCUUACAUAAACUUUGUUCUUCUUAAUUGGGCUACCAAUCAAGUAGUGGGGUUUUAACUAGUGUGUGGCUGGAGAAAAGAAUUAUUCUUACUGCUUAAUUAGUUUUAAGCUUUUAAUCAAUCAUUUUCUAUCGUCAAAUGUUUUCUCAAUUUAUAUUUUUUGCAAAGUCUUUAUUUAACCAAUUCUAAAUUAUAUAACAUAAUAUCAAAAUAAUGGUGAAACAAAUAAAAGCUAUAUAUAUAUAUAUUUUGAAAUGUAAAUACCCAAAAAGAGAAAAGACAUUCUUAAUUAAAGGGAAAGAUUUUACAACUUGCAAGAUUCGUAAUAAACCAGCAGUGGUUGCGGUUGUGAUUGCGGAAAUUUACAAAAGCGGAUGGUUGCGGUUUUAUGUGUUAUUAUGCAUUUUGAACGACUUGUGUAGCGUUUAAAAAUAUGUGCGUUUGCAGGAGUUUUAUGAUUGGUUGACCAGCAGAAACUAUAGCGAUUAAAUUAAAAAAAUUACAAAAUAGAUAUAAAUAUAACUAUGAAAAUGUAUAAAUAUACCAAAAUCUAUAUUAUUUAUGAUAAAGUAUAUAAUAAUAAUAACAACUUAGUCGUCAUACCAAUUAACUAUUCUCCUUGCCCCCCACGAUGUAAAGUCUGUAUUUAAAUGUAAUGAAAGAGCAUUAAUUAGUUUACGUCGUUAAUCUUGAAUUUCAACGAAGAAAACUAAUGAUUUUGAUUUUGAAAUGUCUAUGUAUACUUUUUUCGUGGACUCUUGAAUUUGCCAAACUCCCCUUUCUAUGUACACGAACACAACUACAAAAGACCAACAAAACUAACAGGAAUAAUAUAUUUUGACAAAUUCAACAGUCAAAGUAAUAUAUUUUGACAAAUUCAAGUGUCAGUAUAUUAUUUAAUUAGUACUGUUGGUCCUUUUUAUUGAUAGCGAAAUGUAUUUGAAUUAAUUAUGAAUUUCUCAUUUUUUAACAAAAUUUUUUGGUUUUGCCAUUUUUGAUAAAAUUUUAUGAAUACCAAAGGUCUGUUCGUUUGGUCAUCUAGACGCAGUUGCCAGAUGCAGUUAUCAGAUUAUGUUCGUUUUUCUCAAAUUAAGAAACGCGUCCAGAUGCGAUAUCAGGAUGCAAAAUAAAACUCAUCUAAGAAAAACUGGAUAUUUUGGAUCAGUUUGAAAGAUGAGUUUGGACGCACCUAAAUACGUCUCAAAUUAAAAAAGUCUAAAAUACCCUUAUUUAGCUAUAAUUUUAGUUAUUUUUUAUUUACUCAUUUUUUUGUAAAACUCUUAAAACAAUAGUUCUUAAUAAAAAUAAUAAAAACAAAUUUUUACAAAAACCGCAUACUCUUAUUUUCCUGCCAAAACUACAAAAAUCUUGUUUUUCACCAAAAUCGCAAAAUAAUGAUAUCUCGCUAAAAUUAUAUAAUUUUAUUUCCCAUCCAAAAUGGCAAAAUCAUGAUUUCUGAAAGAACCGCAAAAUCAUGAUUUUCCAACAAAAACACAAAAUCGUGAUUUCAUGCCAAAACCGUAAACUAUUUUUUUCCCGCCAAAACUGCAAAAUCAUGGUUUCCCAAAAAACCGUAAAAUCUCGAUUUCCUGUGAAAACCGUAAAAUCUCGAUUUCCUGUGAAAACCGUAAAAUCUCGAUUGCUCGGAAAAACUGUACAAUCUUGUUUUCCCGCCAAAACCGUAAAAUCUCGAUUUUUCACCAAAAUUGCAAAAUCAUGAUUUCCUGCCAAAACUGAACUCCCGCCAAAACCGUAAAAAUCAUGAUUUCUCGCCAAAACUGAACUUCCCGCCAAAGCUGAACUUCCCGCCAAAACCGCAAUAUCAUGGUUUCAUGCCAAAACCAAAUUUCUCACCAAAACUACAAAAUCAUGGUUUCCCGCCAAAAUUGCAAAAUUUGAUUUUCCCCCAAAACCAAAAAAGCAUUCUAAAGUUCACAAUAUGCAUUUUUAUAUUAUAAAAAAUAGUUUUAUUUAUAAAUGUUUAUUUCAAUUUAGUAUGAUAAUAAUAUAGUUAUAAACAUAAUUAAAACUAUUAAAAUAUGUUCAACACAAAAGGGCAUUUUGGUCAUUUGACAUGUAUUAUAUCUAGAUAUACAUACCACAAUAUAAAACGAACAUAACUGCAUCCAAAUACAAUUUCUGGACGUAUGACGCAGAAAAUGAAACGAACAUCACUUGGAUACCGCGUUCAGAUACUGUUGCGUUCAGAUCAUGUAUCUUGAUAACUCAUCCAGUUCACCAAACAAACAUGCCCCGAUUCUCACGUUAGAAAAAUGUGAUUAAAUGUACGUUUUACUCAUUAUGUUUAGGAUUAGUCGGUUAUAAUUGUUUUUAGGAUUUAGUAUUUAAUAUAAAUUACGACUUUUAGCGAAAAAGACAUUUUAAACGUUCAAAAAUGACAAAUCCAUAAAAUUUUAACAAAAAUGACGCAUCCGUAAUAUUUUCCCUACAAAAAACAAAAUCCGUAAAAAUCCCGUAUAGAUUUCCUUUUUAAUACGUAUUAUGUCAUCCUUUUUAUACAUACUAUGCAAGUUGUAUCUAAGGUCAUGGGAUCCUUAAGUUACAUGCUUUUGAAGUUUUGCGUUACAUAAGAAGCACCUGGCAUAUACAAAACGCUAUUUAGAUUUACCUUAUUGGGUCCUAAACUCCUAAACCAGAAAACUCAAAACCGAGACCGAUCCGAUCCCAAAUUCAAACCUGAGAAAAUCAGAAAUAUAAAUACUUUUAAAUAAUUUAAGACCUGAUCAAUACCCUAUUAUUUACUCUAAAUACCCAAAUUUUCAAAAUUUUACCCAAAACUUUCUUAGUAUUCUGGUUAAAUUUUGGGUAUUUGUGUAUCCAAAAAAUAUGGGGUUUUAGCGGUUAUGAAAAUCUAUAACCGAUCCAACUCAAACCCGAAAGGACCCGAACCGAACUCAAACCAAAUUUUUAGAUUUAUUCUAUUGAGUUCUCAAUUUCUCUACCCGAGAACCUCGAAUCCGAACGGUUCUUACUCGAAUCCGACCAGAGUACCCAAAUGCCCAGGGCUAACCCCAAGUGUGGUGUGGGAGCUUAGGUGCAACGCGCUCUGUGAAUCCUCGUGAUUUAUUGGUCGGCUCCACUAAGUAACAUUGACGUAUAAAUUGUCCACACGCCCAUGCCCAUCACUCUCGGCUCUCCUGUACACACACACAACACGAUAGCCAAAACUAUUUUUCUUUUUUUUCUUUUUUUGGAAGUUUCAACUUACUCAAUGAAAUAAUGUUAUUUACAAAGAAGUACUUGUUGUUGAUACAUUAAGUGGUCGAUCGAACAGAAGGAGGAGAGGCUGAGGCUGACCACCAGGCAAUGAGAAGGUUGUGAUUGCCGGUUUAUAAUAUAUCAGCAUAUUUGUAUAAGUUCUCAUUUCAAUGUAGUCGAGCAUUGGAGAUAAACACUAAUAUAUAUAGGGAAAAAUGUCACUAAAACCAUGAAGUCACCCAAAAAACGUUAUUUAAACCAUGAACUUUUCCUAAAGUCAUUUAAAACAUCAAGUUUUCUUGAUUUUCAUUUCAAAACAUUAAAUACUGUUGACGAAGCCAUAAUAGAGAUGUCGUUAAAUCUGAUAACGGAGCAACUAACACAGGUUACUCCGUCGUUAACCAAUCCAUUAUCGAUUAAAUGACAUCGUUUUGUCGAUUGGAAAAAUGCCGUUUAAAUCAUGCUCUUUCGAAUUAACGCCAUUUAAAUCAUGAAGUUUUCUGAAGACUAUUUAAAACAUCAAGUUCUAUUGACUAUCUUUCUUAAAACACCAAAUGUCAUUAACAAAGCAAAAAUAAACAUUUCGUAAAAUCUAAUAAGAAAUUCUAAUAUUUGUAAAAUUUAUAAUUUUAUGAGACUAAUUUAAAAAAUAUAUAAAACGUUCUAAUAUUUGAACAAACAAAACAAUUGUAAACUCCAAAACAAUGGUAACAUGUGUUAAUAUUUUAUACUGAAAAAUGAAUAUAUAUAUAUAUAUAUAUAUAUGCAUAUGAGCGUGACGUUUAGGUGUUUCUACUUUCAAAGGCACUAGACUCACUCAUGCAUUGGAAUUGGAAACAUCACAGUAAUUUCAAAGCACGUGCUGCUUUAAAUUCUGGUAUUACCUCUUCACCUAAAUAAGACAGGUGAAAAAAAGACUGGCGUGAAGGAAUUGAAAUAAAAAGUUUUAAUGUUGAACUUAUAUUAUACCCUUCUUUGUUUCAGCACUUAUUGUGUAGAGACUUAAAGAACGUGGUGCUAUAAUUAAUAAUGGCGAUGCAUCUUCUUCACCUAUAAUGGUAAAAGGAAAAAAGAAAAUUUACGUAGAGAAAUUGCAAUUGCUAAAUAAGAGAACCAUUCCAAGUCGUAAAGAUUGAUCAGUAGCCAAUAUUGUUCAGUCCUAUUUUUAUGUCUCUAGAGACCAUCUUCAAUUGUCUCUUUCUUCGUGGGUACCAUUAAUUUAUCUUUCUUCGAAGCCUGGUGGGAGCAACCUCUUCAUGCAGAGUCAGUACCACUUUGACACUAUCCCAUGCAUGUGACAUUAAUACGGAUUCUCCCUACGAUUAGUGGUUUCUCAGAAUAGCCUUGGGCAUUCGGAUAUCAGCUCGGAUUCGGAUUCGGAUGUUUGGAUACAGAGAUAUGGAAUCCGAUCAGAUAUUUUAUACUAUCGGAUCGGGUUGCUUUUGGGUUCGGUUAAUUGCGGAUAUAUGAAACCCGAUCCUCGCAUCGAAUAUCCGAAGAUUUUGGUAAUUUUUUUUAUCCAAAAUUGAAAAAUAAUAUCCGAAAUAGAUAGAAAUAUCUGAAACUUUUAGUUUUAUCCAGAAUACUCAACAUUCAUAAUUUUAUCAAAAAAUAUUCACACAUAAUUUGAAAUGAAAAUACGGAAGAAUGUUGAAGACCUAAAUAUAUGAAAGAGUAAAACCGAAUAUAAGUGAUUAAGUCAAAAAUUUUAAGAAUAUAAACAAGUAGACAUUCCACCAAAAAAAAAAAAAACAAGUAGACAAAGCUAAUAACAUCUUAAAACAUCAUUCAUUAGUUCCACACUUCGCAAACUUCAAAUUCAGUUAAAGAUUUAGGGAUUUAAGGAUAGAUGGUUUAUAUAUGUUCAUAUAAGUUUGGUUAUCCGUUCAGGUUCUGAUAAUAUCCAAGUUUUAUGAAAACUAAACCCGAUCGGCAGGGUAUUACACACUAUCUAUACCCGAACCAAACUGCCUACUUCGGGUCAGGUUCGGGUUCGGAUUUCGGGUACCGUUAAUAUGCACAGGGCUAUCUCAGACUAUACAAUACAGAUUUUGUUUUUUUUGUUUUUUUUUUAUAAUAAUUGAGAGAAAUGAUUAGGUUAUAAUCAAAUUUUGGGGGUGGACGAGCAUGUGAAGAGUAUUUACUGUCUCAGACCAUUUAUAAAUACUGUAUAUACCACAAUUCACACGUUACUACAUAAAUGUUUUCUACAUAACCGAGACUGUUUUCUACAUAACCGAGACUAUUCAUCUUUCUGCUCCAGAGUCCAGGGACGAGAAAGAGAGAAUCCGUGUGGUACUGAUAAAUAUUUUCCGACAUAUUCACUUACAGUUUUUAUAAUUUUCCUUAGGUUAUCUCCUCUUGUUCUGUUGUUAACCUUUUUUGUUUUUCCUUCUUUUUUUUUUUUGGGAGUUUUUAGGGUUCUUUGUUGCUGGAUUAGGGAAAAUGAUUGGCUGAUUAGGUUGCAUUCUCAUUUUGGAUUCAUGUGUUUGCAGCUCUGCUUAUUUCCUCAUUCGAACCAGUUCCCUCUUGUAUGGUGAAUAUUUGAUAGGCAUUUAAGAGCUAUAUCAUAUCAUGCAACAGCUUUAAGACUCCAUGUUUCUGAAAUUAUAGCCUUUGCAACUUCAUUGUCCUGAUCAGAUUUUUGUCUGAACAAUGAAACUCAUCACUUGGAAUUUGACUAUGCAGAUAUUUUCAGUAUGGAGGCCUGAGCUACUCAACCAAUGAAGUCGGUACAGUUCUUGUUAUCUCAGGUAUGCAGAACAUCCUCGCUCUUGAUGUCUAGUGUUUUAGUGAUAACAAGUUAAGAAACUGCUAGGACCUAGUUGAUAUUUCCUUUGAUGCUUCUUUGUUGAUUAUACAUAUGUACUGCACUUGAAUGAAACAAAAUAGAGAUUGUUCUUCUGAAAAUUUCUUUCAUUUCAGGCAUUGAUGACACAAAGGAGUUAUCCAUUUAUAGCAAAUUUAUCAGGUAUAUAUAUAUCAGUCUAAGCUUGAUGUUAUAUUGUAAAAAUUUCCCCUAGGUUAUUUGCUUUAGUUCUGGAUUGUUUCGACCGUUUGUUCAGUUGUUAAACUAUUGCAUCUUUAUUUCUUUUAGUUCUGGAGAAGCACAACUACCACAACGGAUGUCCGGGUUCGGGUUGCGGGUUCUCGGACGCCAGGACAAUUUCAAGAGAUGCUGCAGAACGCAGUGUCUAUGAGGAAGCUGUUGGUGGCUGUUUUGGCCUAUUCAUCACCGUCGAAGUGGUUGGAGGGAUUAAGGCCAACAGUCUCCCAAUCCUCAGAGAUGUGGCUCAUCUUCUGUCCGAUGUUGCUGCUUUUGCCAUCUCCUUGUUCUCUCUCUGGUCUUCAGGUUUGGAGAAAACCCCAUGCCAGUCCUAUGGCUUCUUCAGGAGCGAGAUCCUUGGUGCCCUUGUUCCCAUCCAGAUGAUUUGGCUUCUUGCUGGAUUUCAUAACAGCAAUGGCGAAGUUCAGGGUUCUCUAAUGUUCCUUGUCUCUGUAGUUGGUCAACUAGUCAAUAUUGCUAUGGCUGAUGUGUUGGGACACGACCACGGUUGUCACCAGUCACGGUCAUUUCCAGGCACUGAUGAUACCAAUACAAGCGACUUAUCCAUUAUAGCAAAUUUAUCAGGCCUCAGUCUAAGCUUGAUGUUAAGUUGUCCAUCAAUCCUCCUAAAUGUGCUAAUUGUAAGUUCACUCGGCACAUUUAGGAGGAUUAAUGCACAAUUUCAACAUCAAGUUUAAACUUAGAUCUGAUAAAUUUGCUAUAAAUGGAUAACUCAUUUGUAUUGGUACCAUCAAUACUUAAAAGAAGAUCCUAGAAGUCUUUGUGCCUAUAGUGUCUGCCAUAACUGGUAAAUGGACAUUCGCUAAUCUUUAACAAACCGUGGUCCAUUUUGUAAAUUGAACUUCAUAUUUGUUGUAUAAAACUCCAAUGUGAAAGCCGUUUGAAUUGGUGAUAUGGAAUGUAAUGUAUGGAUUCAUUGUUUUUGAUUCAUUUCAAUAUUUCAUAAUUGAAAGAAACCUAUAUCAUAUUGUACUCAGCUUAGAAUUUCAGCUUCUGUUUAUGUUAGUGAAAUUUUUAGAAGCUUCGGAGUUGGCUGGACACUUUAUGGGCUUGGGCUUAACAGAUUGAAUCGUCUUUGCCAUAGUAUUUGUAUCUCUUUUGUAACCAUUAUUAGUACUACAAAAAUAUUCAGAAAAGAGCUUUCAUAUGCUAUAGAAAAUAUAAUUGGUUUCUCAUAAAACAUGUUUCAAGUGGACGGACUCUAGAUAACAUAGAUUUAAAGAAGAUGAGGCACAUCAGAUCAAAUGGUAAUGUAUACGUAUAUAAAGGGAAAUCACAUUUUAAAGUAUUACUAGGGCUGGGUUGAUUGCAAAACCUAAGUUUAUCAUAGAGUUUGCUACUUAAAUUUCAUAUUCCUCUAUCAUACCCGUUAUUUUAUAUUUGAAAGUUGAAAAUGAAUUUAAGUUUCCAAAAUUUUUAUAUCGUUUUGUUUCUGAUGAGAAAUAGUUCAGAUUUUUUUUUUGAAUUACCCGUUCCCUUUUUAUCAUUUCUUGUACAGUUUUUAAACUUUAAAUUUGAAAUCAUAAAAUACAGAAGAAGAGCUCUUUCUAUUGUAGUCCAAAAACCGAUUAAACACAAAAUCUAUCACAAAAACAGUAUGAUAGAAGAAUCGAUUCACAUAAUCACAUAAUCAACACCAAAAACAAUUCAAAAAAUCGAGACAUUUAGGCUAAACUUUAAAUUUGAAAUCAUAGAAUACAGAAGAAGAGCUCUUUCUAUUGUAGUCCAAAAACCGACUAAACACAAAAUCUCUCACAGAAACAGCAUGACAGGAGAAUCGAUUCACAUAAUCACAUAACCAACACCAAAAACGAUUCAAAAUUGGGACAUUUAGGCUAAACUUUAAAUUUGAUUCGAAAUCGUCAUUUAGGUUAAACUUAAAAAUCGAUCCCAUAAGCGAAAACGAACAUGGGAAAGUGACGAUGAUUCCGACGAGAAGAAUGGAAGAUAAGAUAAUUCCGACGACAGAACACUCCGACGAGAGGCGAAGCGAAAAACACUCUGACGGCGAAAGAAGAGAGAAGACGAAAGAGAGAGAAAACAAUUAGGUCGUUGGUCUGAGGGUAAAACUGGUAUUAAAAAUUAAAAGUGGGUAGAAAUGAAAAUGGCAAAAAGAGGGUAUUUUUAAAAGAAGGUUUCAUAAUGUAACGCCCGUGUUCCGGUUUGGGCGGUGUCGAUCGACACCACUGAAGGGUGUCGCUCGACACCAGCAUGUUUCGGUUUGUUCGGGUCGAUUUUAAUUGCGAAAUUGUGUGGUUUUGGUUAGGGUUUAACCCUAGGUCACGUUUAAAAGAGUAAAGGUCGUUUUUUGUUGAGAGGUGGCCGCUUUUAUUCUUCUCUAAGGUUUCUAAGUUCUCUAGAGAGGUUUUGUGAGGUUUGAGAGUGUUUUGAGGCUUGUUCUUGGUGUUUCUGUCCUUGGGAAGAGAGAUCUCGUAGUUGUGGUAUUAGGAGAGUCCUUGGUUGUUGUUGUUGUGAUCUAUUCGUCCUUGUUUCAGUCCUUUUGAAAGGUGAGUGCAGGACCUAGGCUUAUCUGAGCUGCUUGUUUCAUGUUUUGGCGAUUUCUAUGAUUGUUGAUUGAUUUUCCUUGUUGUAUGCGUGUUUUUUUGUGUCAUGGUACCUCUGGGCGAGCCUUAUGGAGUGGUCACACGGCCAUGGAGGGCUUGGAAACGGCGGAUUCGUUGAUGAGAAGCGACUGGAGUGAUGUUAGGGUUUCGGUGUCGCUCGACACCAGUGGUGGGUGUCGAUCGACAUCAAUUUUCUUUCUCGCGAGGAUGGUCGCGAGUGUCGAGCGACACCAGAUGAUGGUGUCGAUCGACACUACUCGUCUGAUCGGAUUGUGUUGUUAUUGUUAUGGCCUUUUUAUGAUUGAUAUGUGUUGCUGUAGUGUGGAUUAUGCAGUUUGUGUGUAUAGCCUGUUGUGGGGAUGAUUGUCUCACUAAGUAUUUAUGAAAUACUUAUCCAUCUCAUUUUGUGAUGCAGGUAAAGCGAAAGUGUGAUCCGUGGAAUCAUGGCGAGGAGAGGAGGAUGAUCUAGGCACUCAUUGGUGUUUUAGAUUAUUGUUGGAUUUGUUAGGGUGUUGUAACGCAAAAAUCAUUAUAUUAUCAUAUCAUAAGAGUUAUACAAAAUACAAGUAAUAUAAACCACUUGAAUAAAACCAUUAAACCAAAUAAAAUAUACUAUAAAUUAGAUUUGAUUAAUUAUUAAAUUAUUGUUUAAAAAUAUCUCAAAAAAUUAAAUAUUUUACAUAUGUGAAUUUUCGAAUUUAAUUUUCCACUUUUUUGGCAACAAAUUAAUAUGAUUUCCAUAAAUAUAGAUAGUUUAUGUUUUUUAUCAUUUAUUUAUUAAAAAAAAUUGCCAAACAAAACUAAAGACAGCAAUUUUUUUUUUUGGGCAAUGUUGACAAAAAAAAAUUGAUGUCUUUAGUUUUAUUUGGCAACAUGUAUAAUUUUUAUGAAUUUUUUUUUGAUAACGGGGUCUGUUUGGAAACACUUUGUCCUCCCCAAUUAAUAGUAGAUACGUAGUAUGAAAAACGAUAGUGAGUAGAAGACAAAUCUAUCACAUGAUUCACAUAGAUGUGGAGUUGCCAAACUUGUUACAUGGAUGUGGAGUUGCCAAACUUGUUACAUAGAAAAGGAAAAGUGCAUAGGCCUUUGAUAUAUCAAAUAGGGCUAAGCUCUACUUACCAUAUUUAGACAUCAACCCACAACGAAUCCUUCCUUCUUUGUUUGUGUGUUUGUUUAGGCUCUCUCCAAGAAGCUCCCAAGACGCUCCACAUAUCCCCCAAAAAUUUCUUGAUAGAGCCCACUCAUAUCUCACCUCUUUGGCCAAGGAUUCCACCAUAAAGGCUCCAACAGCUAGUUUUUGAUUAAUAGCGCAUAUCUUGUUACCAUGUUUAGACUUUAGAACGUUGUACUCAACACUGUAUAAGCUGAUCUUAGGCUCAUUUGUAAAACACCCUUGAUUAUUUUUAAGUAAUGGCAAAGUUUCUUCUUGUCAAAGUUCAAGUCUUUGUCAUUUUAUUCGCCUUAAGUGAGUGAGUCUCUUAAACCUAUUGGAAUCUGCAGAUUAAGUUUUUGAGUGAUUCAACAUUCUUUAUUCGUUCAUUGGUUGAGUGAGUCAAUUAUACCAUUGAUUGAGCGAGUCAAUCACUUGAUCUAUCUCAUGUACCACCCCUUGGUUCACAAGAGAUUGCUUCAGAGCCAGCUCAUGAAUUCCACCUUCCGCAAGUUAAGCUUGAAAUCUAUUGAUCUUUGUUUGAUCCUAAGUUGGAGUGAUUGCAAUCUUGCAUCACUAAGGAUUACUUUUCUCACCUAUGUUCUUUUCAUAAAGCAACUCAACAACACUUCUUAUAUUUAGAUGAGUAACCUAAGAUCUGAAAACUAUGUAGCUAAUCAAGUUUCAGCAUUAAGAACAACCAUAAAUGAAGAACAAAACAUAUAAUAUUCCAAAUCUAACAUCAACAAUUUAUUAUAUAUUUUUGAAAAUCCUAAAGCCAAUAUAGAUAGCACUCAGAUAUGAUGGAAGGAACCAUCAAAUAAAGUAUGAUGAAAGAAUAUCUUGUGGCCGUAGUUACAAUACAUAAAAUAUAGCUUAGGUCCUUCAACUAGUAAAGAAAAUUAUUAUCUUUAAGUAAGUCGUCUCCCCUUUACAGUAAAACCUCUAUAAAUUAGUAAUGUUGGACUAAGGUAUUUUAUUAAUUUAUCUAUAAAUUAAUAUUUAUUAUUUGGGAUAUUUCAAUGAAAAAGCACUUUCUCGAAAGUAAUCACACAAUAAGGAUCCCACUACGCGGGUUGUUAUAAAAACAAGGCCAUGAUGGAACUAUAUUUUCUCUAUAGUUACAAAAAUAAGUCGACUUUUAUGUAACAACCCGUCAUGUGGGAUCCCCUGCCACAGGGCACACCCCGCCACAUUGCAGCUACAAGCGCUGCAGCGCAUCUACUCUAACCUCUCUCCUUUGUGCCCAAUCUGACAUGUAGGCACUCUCUUGGCCCACAUCCUCUCCUGGCCCACCAGGCAAGUUAUUGGUGCGCUUGGCGUUACUCGAACCCAAGAUCUCAUAGUGUGGAAGCUGUUACCAAUUGAUCUGCAUGUUGAUUACUUUUGAGAAAGUGCCUUUUCAUUAAAAUAUCCCAAAUAAUAAUUAUUAAUUUCAUUGAAAUAUCUCAAACUAAAUAGUUACAUAUUUCAUUAUUAUUAUUUUUAUUUUCUUUUUCUCUCUUUGUACAUGUCCUACACUUUUCUAUUUGUUGUCUCUUAGAUAUUGGAUAUAUCAUGUCCCUUCCUUUACUAUUUAGUUUAAAUAUAUAGUUUUCAUGAUACACACACAUAAUUUUCAGGUUUUAUUUAGUUAAAUUUUUUUAUAUUCAAACUUUUAAUUUUUUUUAUACAAACGAAUCAAUAAUUAAUUUUUGAAAUCGCCUUUGCUAUUCCAUCCUUGGAUGAGGAGUACUUGUCCAUAGUUUUGCGUACACUCAGUCGAAUAUAUAUAACAAAACAAGCCGUACUACGUCUAGACAAACAUAUCCAUAUGGAUAAUAAUCGUUUAUCCAAGAGACCAUGAUAGCCUUAAGAUUGAUUGGAAACAUUAUUUGGACAGAAUACAUCAUUGGUAUCCAGGAAAACCACAUUCACAUGAUCACAAAGAGGAUCAUCACUACCGAUACAGAUCUGUAACAACGAACAAAAAAAAACAAAAAACUCAAAACUCAAAAGCUCGAACUUCCAUUUCCCUUCUUCGCAACAUCGCUAUCUCCCGCAGAUCACAAUAGUGAAUUUUUCAUUUGUUCCUGAACACAAAAUACAUAACCAUGGGGUUGGAUAUCAUCCAAAAAUUAAUUAUUUAAUCGUUUGUAUAAAAAAAAAUUAAAUCAGUAUUUUAGAAUCAGUCUUUUACAAAAUCUCAUCCCGUUUACAACUUUUACAAAAUCUCACCUCUGUUCCAGACGACAUUAUCCUUUGUGCUCUGCGCUCGAUUCAAAACCUCUGUGAAAACAACCAAGAACUUAGCUCUUUUCACUAACCCAGAUUUUUGCCUUUUGAAGUACAAGAACGAAAGUCUACAAAAGUUGUUUCUCGAACAAAAAGAUUUUAAAAACUCAUAUUUUUGCUUUUGUAAUAUGUUAAGAGAUCCAACAUUAAUGGUUAAAACAAACUAAACUAACUAAAAAUCACUUAUCCAUCCAGUUAACUUUAUUGGGGCACAAUAGUCCUUUUUUGGACAAAAAGCUGAGGCUUUUGUGGGCUGCUUAUAUUGUGUGUUUUUGUGCCUUAUUGUAUAAAUCGCCCUUAUUAUUUUAUAGUAUAAAUUAAUAAUUAUUCAUUUAUAGUGGUACUUUUAAUUAUUAUAACUUUUUGAAAAAUUAUUAUAAUUUAUCUAUAAUAAUUAUAAAUUGAGUAAUUUUACAAAAAUAAGAUUAGUCUUUUCUUAGAUAUUAUAAAAUUUAUAGUUUGGAAUUGAAUUUCAUAUUUUGAAAAGAAAACAAAUUGACAAAUAAAUCACAAAUAUUAUAGAUAAAUUCACUUGUGGUAUACAUAAAUACAAAUUUAUGAUUAAUAACCUCAACUGUUAUAUUUUAACAUCCUAUAAAAUAAAAAAAUGAAUUUGAUGCAUAUUUAAAAAUUGAAAGAUUAAAAAAAUUGGUUAUUUUAUGACAUGUUAUGAAUUAUAUUACAAUAUUAAAGUUUAAAAAUAUAGUAUAAAAUUGCUUUAUAGAGAUGAACACUAGGAAAAAAAUCAUUUUUACAGAAAAAUAAAAGUAUAUAUAUAUGUAUAUAUAAUGAUUAUUAAUUUAUAAUUUUAUUGGGACUAUAUUUUACAUGGAGAUUUCAAAAAAAAAUAUUAUCUUAGUAUCCUAUCAAAUUUUGUUAAUUUUUACACUGGCCCGACUCGGGACCAGCAAAAUUUAUUAAUUUAUAAGGUUUAUUAAUUUAUAGUGUAUUAAUUUAUAGAGGUUUACUGUAUAUCAGUAUCAUAAACCGGGGAUUUACAAUUUACCCCCACUAACUGAUCGCAACGUCUUCGUUGUGCAGCAAGACCGUCACAAUUAUACCCCCGGCUAGUUCUAGUAAUAAGAACGAAUCGGGAGCGUCACUAAGGACCAUCGUAGUUGCUAACCUAGGUUCCCAAAACGAAUUCGUUCAUCAAAGUCAUCCAACCGCAAGGUUCCGACUUUACGGACACGGCCUAAGUUUUGCAACUCGCACUGCAAGCAAGAGGUUGUGUUAAGUCCGAACAAGACUUAAUAUCAGUUGGAAUAACCAUUUAGCUUUCAAAACUUCGAGUUUAGUAAGAAUUUACAAAAGUUGUAAAACCUACAUUGAUUUGCCCAAUGAUCACGUUGCUUCACCAUGGAGAAUAUUCAUCUAAGAUGUUCUGUAAAUAAAGUAGCGUCAUAAGUAAUCAGUACUUCUUAGUAAGCCUGAAACUAAAUAAUUCUACCUAAUUACCCAUCCUAAGCCACCGAUGCGCAAGAUAACCAAUACGGUUGUUACCGGUCAUUGAGUAUAAAGUCCGCGGUAAUAUAAUAUCUUACUUCCUAGCGUGCCAGCUUAGGAGCAUGAACAUAUUGACCAAGUUUCCUUUCGGGCAGAUUGGCGAUGCAAUCUGCAUCGGUAGUGCCUCCAUCGUCUGGCUACCAAGAGCGUUGGCUAGUAAUACCCACAUCCGACAUCAACGUUUUAUCGAAUCAGUUUACCAAAAACAUACUUUCCUCGACCAAUCCUAAUUUCUCUUUGAACAAUUCGAGGUUUUCCUCAACAAACUAACGAUUGUUAUCUAAAACUAUUUUUAGGGUUUUACCUAUAGGUUUAUCAACAAAGUUAACGGUCAUUGCCAAUAAUCUUUCCUCCGAUACCAUUUUGAUGGAAUAUCCUUCUUGAUAUGGCAAUUCAUUCAUGGUCAUUACAUGUACUUCCUUAUUCCAUUACCUUAGCCUGAUAAACGACCAAACCAAAAUUGUACUUUUUUUAGCGGAAUUAAUCAUGGGAUUUUGUUGGCUGGUCACGUCGGUCAUCCAUCUGUCCGAGUACUAGUCACAGUGAUAAUAUUAUAGUUACCCCGUAGAUUGUGAGAUCUAUUGACUCCACCCUCAUAUAGGUUUAUCUUUGGUACCACUUGUAUAACCCUGGCCAUCAUCUCUAUUAUUGGGAUCUAUAUCCUCUCUAGGUAUCUGGGCCUUCUUUAUUUACCUCCCGGAGGUUUUAAAACCUUGUUUAACUGACCCUAGAAUUUACCUCGUGAUCUUUAUCCUUUUUUUUCCUUACUCACACGGUUCCGAUAAUAAUUUCCUGGAAGGUCACCUAUUUUGAAACUACUCCAGCAUAAUAACUCUUAACUAGGUAGUUUGCUCUGUAUGUUUUGCCAAAAAGAUAAGCGAACUUUGGUGACAUUGGCGGUCAAAUCAAUCCUUUUAAACCUCUCUGCAUGCAUCACCAUAUAUGAUGACGCCGGGGUAUUACACUUUUUACUAGGAUUUGCUUGCAUAAUUGUUUCAUGGACUCAUGGUGCUGUUUUUUCUUUUUCAUCUACCUCUAAUGCUGAGAUGCCUAGGUGUUUUGGUUAUGCUGGCAUACCCUAAGUGACUUCAAGUAAGUAAAAAACAGCAUUAGUCAUUGGUUUACGCAAUGUAAUUCUCUAAGGUUCUAAAAAAAUUUGGAAAACGAGUGUAAUAUCAAGAGAACAUUUGAGAUAUUGUUGAUAGAACAAUGACAUAUGGUAACAAAAGAUUUUUUCUCUCUUUGAAAAAAACAACUUGUACAAGUGUGUGUAAAUUAUGAACAAAUCAUUCAUAGAACUUAGUCUUGGUAAAUCACACACAAAAGAUAAAGAACUAGCUCAUUCUCUCAAGAUCAUUUAAAAGAAAUAAGAUCACUUCAACUGAUCAUUUUAUUGGACUAAGAUGUAUUUGUGUUCAGGGGGAUGUAAAUGUGGUGUUUUUAUGAGCAAAAUUUCAUGGAGUGCGUCUCUCGUCUCUUCACUUGGAGAUGUAAGCUUUAAUAUGGGUUAUGAAGAGCAUACUCGCAAGAACAAUAAAUUGUAAUGUUUUCAAAAUAUAAUGUGCAGAGUUAGUCUCGAUAGUGCAAUAUCCUGAGAAUUAGCUCGCUUUCCCCAUUCUUCUUGAUGAGGUUAGACGUGGAUUAGUCAUUAAUCAAAGUGGAUAGGGUGGUCCUAGCGAUUACACGGGGAGUAAUCGGACUUAGACAGAGAUUUUUUAAACAGGGAUUUAGAUUAACAAUUUUCUAUUAUUAAAUGUUUUCUCAAUUUGUAUUUUUUUUUUUUAAAAUUGUUUAACCAACUAUAAAUUCUACUGUAUAACAUAAUAACCAAAACUCUUAGUACAAUAUAAGAAGCGUUACAACUUAUAAGAUGGGUUAAAAACCUUAAAAUCUGAAUCGAUAUAAACAUACCAAAUAACUAUUGUCUCUAUGGUGGAACUUCUCCUUGGCCUCCACGUUGUGAAAGACUUGGGUUUAUACUACCCUUGAUCUCGAACAUGUUUUGAUCCCAAACCAAUUCUACGAUUUUAGAGUAGCUAGUGAUUAUCAUGUCACAUAUUUUGUUGGUUGUUUUGUUCAAGAAUAUAUUUGUGGCCAGUUGCCUUCUCUUAUUUAUGCACGCUAGAUGCAUAUACUUUUAUGGCUCAUCGUUUUUACUUAAUGAUGUUUUUUUUUUAAUUGUAAUACAAGAUUCAGAUUUCUCUUCAUAAGUUCUCGGUAUUUUAAUAACCAAAUCUCUUGAUACAAUAUAAGAAGCGUUACAACUUAUAAGAUGGGUUAAAAACCUUAAAAUCUGAAUCGAUAUCAACAUACCAAUUAACUAUUGUCUCUAUGGUGGAACUUCUCCUUUGCCUCCACGUUGUGAAAGACUUUGUUUUACACUAGCCUUGAUCUCGAACUUGUUUUGAUCCCAAACCAUUUCUGUUAUUGAUAGACAAAAUAAGAUGUUAUUUAAAAUACAAAGAGACAAAAAAAGAUGUUAAGUCUGUAUUUAAAUGUAGAGAAAGUGCACUAAUUAGUUUACGUCGUAAAUCUUGAAUUUCAACAAAGAAAACUAAUGAAUUUCGAAAAUUCCGUGUAUACUUUUUUCAAACUUCCCUUUCUAUGUACACGAACACAACUACAAAAUACCAACAGUACUAACACCUUUUUUCAAGGACAGUAAGACGAAAAGAGGAAAAUUGACUUCCUUCGCAUCUCACCUCCGGCGUCUCUCACGGCGUCGGAAUCCCCUCCCUCUCUUGCCCCCAGGCCCUCCCCUCCUCAUGGGGAAGACAAAAAAGAUCAAAAGAAAACCUUCGGGUUCCCAUUCACCGCCGCAAGGUUCCGUCUCUCCAGCGAUGAGCUCUCCGGUCUCGACGGAGGUUAGUCCUUCUUCGGUGCCCGCUUCAGAGUCUCAGUCAUCAAUUCCUAAGUGUAAUGCCUCAGAUCUGGUCCAGAAGACAGUCUCAGCCAUAAAAGUUGCCAAUUCCGCCGUAGCGACAGACCUAGGUUUGUGUAUUUCGGCCGGUUCAGAAGCUAAAUCGAAUACUAUAGAGAAUCUUUCGAAGAAUGCCUCAGCUCCAGUCAUCGAGACAAGCUCAGCCAUAGUUGAAUCUCUAGCACCUGGCUCGUCAGACCUAGGCGCAGGAAUAGUCGAACCCGAAAUAACUCCAUCAGUCUCCGAUCCGAUAGUUUCUCCCGUUGAAGCGAUUGUUUCUGUAUCUAACUCUGAGGCCGCGACGACUUCGACCCCAGCAGCUCCAACGAUUUCAACUCCUACCCCGAGCAAUGAGUGGGUUGGUCUCUUCAAAGGUUCUACCAGAAAGUUGUCUAAGAAAGGUGUCCCCUUUACUCUGCCGAACGGUGAAGUUUGUGUUAAAAUACCAAACUCUGUUAUUGAGAAGCAUCAGAAGUCAUGGGAGUCGUUCAUCAUUGGGCAAUUCUACGCCGAUCCUCCGCCGCAAGCUCUCGUCCACACGAUCGUGAAUGGGUUCUGGAGCCGGCAAUUCAAAGAUAUCUCGGUCUCAAGGCUGGAAGGAAAUGCGUACCUCUUCCGCAUUCCAAAUGUCCAGACUCGCCGUCGAGUGCUAAAUCAGAGACUGUGGAAAAUCGACGGACAAACCAUGUUUGUUGCUGACUGGGAACCAGGCAUGGCUCCGGUUACGCCAGAGCUAACCAUUGCUCCUAUUUGGUUAGAAUUGCGUAAUGUGCCGCUUCAAUUCUUCAAUGAGGAGGGACUUGAGCACAUUGCAGGUCUGGUUGGGCACCCUGAUUGUCUUCAUCCGGACACAAUAAACAAGUCAAACUUGGAGGUCGCAAAGGUCUUCACUUUCAUUGACCCGCGAAAGCCACUCCCGGAAGGUGUAAAUGUUCAGUUUCAAUCAGGUGAGAUAAGAAGGGUCUCAGUCUCUAGUCCAUGGAUGCCACCAAUCUGCUCUCACUGUAAGGAGGUUGGACACAGUCUAAAGCGAUGUAAGACCGCCCCCUCUACUUGCUCAAAUUGUAGCUCCACAGUUCAUCUUGUAGCUAGCUGCCCUAGAAUUAAAGGAAAUGGGACAAGGCUGCCACAAAAGGCGAGGAGUACAGCUGUGGCGGGAGUCCCAGAGAUUCGGAAUGAAGAGAUCCCUCCAAUUUCCAACCCUCUUCCCGCAACCAUUACUACUCCGAAAGGUUUUUCAUACGUUGCUAAAGGAGCAUCUGCUCCAUCCUCUUCAGCGAUCCCUCCCCAUCAUUCUGUGAUCGCUAGUGAAAAUGCGCGAAACAUUGUCACUUCUUCUAAGGGAAAAGCGAAAGAUUCCCCUGGCUCUGCAAAGUCAACUCCAAAGGUCUCUGAGGCAGAUUCAGACUCUUCUGAUAUCAGUUCUAGUGAGGAGGAGGACCCUGAUUCGCCCUUAGAAGAAGAACACGAGUACUUGGAAGUUGUCUCGAAGAAAAAUCGGAGGAACUCUCGAGGCUUUGGCCUCAAACUUCAUUAAUAUAUGUAUAGUGACAUUUUUUGUUGGAACGUCCGCGGAUUUAAUAAGAGAUCCCAUAGAAGCGGAUUAAAAAAGUGGCUUAGAAGCAGCAGACCAUUUUUUGGAAGUAUUAUAGAGACUCAUGUCAAGCAGCAGAAGAUGAGUAAGUUCAUCAAUGCUAUUUUGCCGGGCUGGUCUUAUUCGGAUAAUUAUAACUAUUCUGACUUAGGAAAAAUUUGGAUCUUUUGGCACGCAAGCGUGAAAGUGACGACUAUAGCUUCUUCACUGCAAAUGAUCACAUGCGCAGUCUUUUUUCCCGACAACCCUACCCAGUUUAUUGUCUCUUGUGUCUAUGCUUCGAAUGACGAGACGGUAAGAAGGCAACUUUGGGAUGAGUUGGCUACGCUGGCUUCAGACUCCAGAGUUCUAGGGGUCCCUUGGGUUGUGCUUGGUGAUUUUAACCAGAUUCUGCAACCUUCUGAGCAUUCCUCCCCUCCCACUCUCAACAUGGACAGGGCCACUAGAGAUUUCAGUGAUGCACUCCAGCAGGCUUCCCUUAGUGACCUCACGUUUAGGGGAUGUUCCUUCACUUGGUGGAACAAGCAAAAAGCAAACCCAGUGGCAAAGAAGCUUGACAGGAUCCUUGUAAAUGAUGAAUGGCAGUCCCAGUUUCCUCUUUCUACAGCUUUUUUUGGUGCUUCUCAAUUCUCAGACAAUUCUCCUAGCUGUCUCAGCCUUUCAUCAGGUCAGCAGAGACAAAAGAAGCCGUUCAAAUUCUACAACUACCUUCUCAAGAACACUGACUUCCUGCCCUUAAUCUGUUAUAACUGGUUCACUAUAAAUGUUGCGGGUUCAGAAAUGUUCCGCCUAUCCUUCAAACUUAAAACGCUAAAGAAGAUCAUAAAGGACUUCAGCAGAGUUAACUACUCUGAUUUGGAGAAAAGGGUGGUGGAAGCUAGUGAGGUCCUAUCGGAUAUUCAGUGCAAGCUUUUAUUAGAUCCUUCAGCUGCUAAUGCCACCUUAGAGUUGGAAGCUACUAGAAAGUGGGCAAUUUUAGCUGAAGCGGAAGAGUCUUUCUUUUGCCAGAGAUCUAGUAUCACUUGGCUAAGUGAGGGUGACAAGAACUCCUCCUACUUUCAUAAGAUGGCAUCAGCAAGACAAGCCUCCAACCACAUCCACUUUCUGGUUGAUGAAGGGGGAAAUCAUAUAGAGAGUCAGCAAGGAAUCCAUAAGCAUUGUAUUACUUUCUUCAAAGAGUUACUGGGAAGCGAAGAGCCCGCUCCUUUAUUCGACCAUGACGAUAUAAGUUCUCUCCUUAACUUCUCUUGCUCUGCAGCUCAGAGAGACCAGAUUAAUGCUCCCUUCUCCAUUGAAGAUAUAAAAGUGGCUUUCUUCUCUCUCCCCAAGAACAAGACGAGUGGACCUGAUGGUUUUUCAGCAGAAUUUUUCACUUCUUGCUGGUCUUGUAUUGGUCCGGAAGUGUGCGCUGCAGUUGCUGAGUUCUUCUCCUCUGGGCAGAUUCUCAAGCAAUGGAAUGCUACUUCUCUUGUCCUUAUCCCUAAGUCUCAAAAUGCUUCUAGAGUGGUUGAUUUCCGCCCUAUCUCUUGCUUAAACACGGUGCACAAGGUCAUCUCAAAGCUUCUUGCUUCUCGUCUGCAAGUUCUCUUACCGUCAGUCAUUUCCCUGGAACAGUCUACGUUCCUUUCGGGCAGGUUAUUAUCAGAAAACGUUUUGUUGGCCACAGAAAUAGUGCAAGGUUAUAACAGAGCAAACAUCACCCCAAGAGCAAUGCUUAAGAUCGAUCUCAGGAAAGCUUUUGACUCGGUAAGAUGGGACUUUGUUCUGUCUUCUCUGAAAGCUCUGAACUUACCGGGCAGAUUCAUCGGCUGGAUUAAAGAAUGCAUGUGUACUCCCACUUUCUCCAUUUCAUUGAACGGGAAAUCUGAUGGUUUCUUCAAAAGUACCAGAGGGCUCAGACAAGGGGAUCCUCUCUCACCUUAUCUCUUCGUCCUGGUCAUGGAUUCUUUCUCUAAGCUGUUGAAAUCCAGAUUUGACUCCGGUUAUAUCUCGUAUCAUCCAAGGACUUCAGAGGUGCAAAUAUCCCACCUGAUGUUUGCUGACGAUGUGAUGAUAUUUUUUGAUGGAAGCAGCUCUUCCCUCCACGGUAUUUAUGAAACCCUUGAGGAUUUUGCUGGCUGGUCUGGGCUGCAUAUGAACAGGGAGAAAACUUUGCUCUUUCACGCAGGUCUGUCCCUUACUGAGACGACAACCAUCAGCAACUAUGGUUUUCCUGCUGGAAAUCUUCCUGUGAGGUACCUUGGUCUCCCUCUUAUGUGCCGGAAGCUAAGGAUUCAUGAAUACUCUCCCCUUAUUGUCAAGAUCUCUAAUAAGUUCAGAGCUUGGACAGUUAAAUCUCUCUCUUUUGCGGGUAGGCGGCAGCUUAUUUCUUCUGUCAUCUACGGAACAGUGAACUUCUGGAUGUCUACUUUCUUACUGCCUAAAGGUUGCAUCAGAAAAAUCGAAUCGCUUUGCUCAAACUUUUUGUGGUCAGGAACAACGGAUAAUCAUUCCAAAGCAAAGGUUGCGUGGUCUACGGUUUGUCUCCCUAAAUGGGAAGGAGGUUUGGGUCUCAGGAAGCUUUCAGUUUGGAACACAACUCUAUGCUUGAAGUUAAUCUGGUCUCUCUUUUCAAAAAGCGGCUCUCUGUGGGUUGCAUGGCAGAACCAUCACCACAAAUUGGACCGAGUGAGUUUCUGGGCAAUGACAGCAAAAUCAGCAGAUUCUUGGAUUUGGGGAAGGUUGCUAAAGUUAAGAAGCCUAGCCGAGAAGUUCAUAAGGUGUAAUAUUGGAAACGGGUCGCUGGCCUGGUUCUGGUUUGAUCACUGGACAACCUUAGGACCGCUGAUAAAGCUCCUAGGAGAUACUGGUCCUACAGCCCUAAGAAUCCCUCUUCACGCAAAAGUUUCUAGUGCUUUUAAUAAUGACGGUUGGCUUCUGCCUCCGCCCCGUUCUGACCAGGCCUACGACCUUCAAGUUCACCUCUCCACGGUCUCACUUCCCAAAGCCACAGAUGAUGAGGAUACCUACUAUUGGUUUGUAGACGAUAAGGCCUGUGUUGACUACAAUGCAGCUAAAUUGUGGGAGGCUCUUAGACCAAGGAGCUCUGUGAAAAGCUGGGCGAAGUUAGUUUGGUUUAAAGGCUCUACUCCGAGCCACGCUUUCAAUAUGUGGAUUGCAAAUCUCGACAGGUUGCCAACUAUGUCAAAACUAGCAUCUUGGGGUUUGCAAGUGUCCACAAUAUGCUGCCUCUGUUCCGCUUCUGUUGAAAGUAGGCUCCAUUUGUUCAUUGAAUGCCCUUACACCAAGAUGGUAUGGUCUCUCAUUUUCUCCAAGCUUCAAAUCUCAAAUCCCAACUUUGUUGACUGGAAUGAAAUGAUGGAUUGGGUAAAGGAGGGAAAUGCAAGUUCUCCCCAUACUCUGCGUCUUUUGAUUAUCCACACGUUGGUUUACACGGUCUGGCGUCAGCGCAACAACUUGGUUCAUAAUCAGAUUAGACUUCCGCCGCUUACCAUCUUCAAAGAUAUUGACCGGCUCAUUAGAAACUCACUCACAGCUAGGAAGCGUAUGAAGAAGUUCAAGAAAUUAAUGUCGGUUUGGCUACGAUGACAUUCUGGAAGAUCCAAAUUUAUCCUUUGAUUAGUAGUUUGUUUAAUUGUUCCUUGGUUUUCCACUUUUUUUGACAAGGACCAAUCUCGUAGGUUUUGUUUCACUGUAACACCUACCUUUCAUUUCUAAAUGAUAUUUACAAUUUAGCAAAAAAAAAACAGUACUAACAGAAUAAUAUAUUUUGACAAAUUCAAGAGUCAAAAUAAUAUAAUUUGACAAAUUCAAGAGUCAAAAAAUUAUUUUGUUAGUAAUAGCGAUCAUAUAUAUUUCCUUUUUAAGACAUUUUCUGUCGUCCUUCCGUAUAAUGUUUUCAAACUUUAUAGUUCAUCAUAUCACAUUCAAUUGUUUAUUAUGUAACUCAAAAAUUAGAGAAAUGACUUGGUCAAAUGAUUAGCGAUUCAUAAAACAGCUUUCUCUCUAGCUAUGACAGUUAUACUUUGACAAACCUCGUUAUCCCACAGUGGUCAAGUUUUGUUAAUCCAAAACAUAUCAACAUGAAAAAAAAACUCAAAAAACUUUCUCUUCAACUAAAUGUUUCAGAUUGAUUUAACCUCAAACAAUGAAUAAAUAAUAUUUGUCAAACAAAUAUGAUAUUUUGAUUAGAAUUACAUAUAUAUAUAUAGAGGUCUGGGGUUUGAACCCCAGAUAGCGCGAUUUAUUAAUGUUUCAACAUAUUAAUGGAGAUAAGUAUACAGGAGAUCUCUAGUGAUGCACAAUUAGAGCCGUUCGCCGUGAUUCCAGCUAUUGACGAAGAUGUCCAAGAUCAGCAUGGAGAAGAAGGCGUUCAAGAUCAGCAUGGAGAAGAAGGCGUUCAAAAUCAACAAAGGAGUGUUGUCAAUAGUGAAUCUAAUAGGGUCGGAAGGAAUUACCCAAGGUAGAUUAUCUUUGUAAUAAUUCUCAUAAUUUGCAAUAAUUAAUAAAUCUAAAGACGAUUAAAAAAAACUUACAAGUGGUAAUAUCACACUGUUGAAUGCGUCUUCUUUAAAAAGAUAUUAUGAUGACUCGGUUUUUUUCCAAUAUGAUGACUCGUUUAUAAUUAAGAGAUUUGUAAUUAGACCUAAAAGUAUAUACAAGAUAUUUUUAAGUUAAUAAGAAAUUAUAUUGCACAAUAUAUACAAAUUAGUUUGAUUUUUACAAAAAUUUUGACAGUAUACAUCGUGGUUAUCUACUCAAACUUUUUUUUUGUUGAAAUCUACUCAACGUUACUUCAAUUUUUAUUUUUAGAAAUCUUACUUUAACCCAUUUUAAAUUAUAUAACAUAGCAUAUACUCCCUCUAUUUCACAUUGUUUGAUGUUUUAGAAAAAAAAAUUGUUUCUAAAAGAUUGAUUUUGUAGAUUAAAAAACCAAAACUAUAUUUCUACUUUAAUCUUUUUUCCACAUGUCAGUAAUCUAAUGGUUUAUAUUUUCUCUUUCUAACAAAAAGUAAUUAGAAAUUAAUUCACAAAAAAUUGUUUAAUUUUACCUUAACAUGUAUGAAAAAGCCAAAACAUAAACUUUUUAGAAACAGAGGGAGUACUAAAUAUUAUUUAACAAAAAAAAAAACAUAUACUAAAUAUUUAUAGCAAAGUAAUGGUAACAAAUAAGCUAAAUUUUUGUUUUCAAUGUUAAUGCAAAGAAAGGGAAAGGAAAGGGACAUGGCAUGCAAAUUAAAGAAAAGAUUUAACGAUGACAGCAAAUCUUUACAAGAUAGGUAGUCUUUAGACCAACAUUAUUGGUAGGAUCUUAGCCAUAAGAUUUACACUAGAGGGUAUCUAAUGUUGGUCUUAGUGUCUGGCUCUGUGGCCUCAAGGACUAGGUGGACCUCUUUGGCCGCUAGGUGAAGCUCCUUGGCCUCCAGGUGGUGAAAUACUUGGGUUUACAGAACCCUUGAUCUCGAAGACUAGGCCAUUUUGAUCCCAAACCUUUUCUGUUAUGUAUAGUUCAACAAAACAAAUCUUUAAAUACAAUUUUUUUAAGUAACCGAACUAAGAGACAAAAGAAGAUAUUUCUCAUAACUAGCUAGAUACUUACUUGUAUUAUGAGAUUUGUGAACGUAUUGUAAUCGAGCGGAGACUGUGUUUGUUGAUGCCACGAACAGGAGAAACAUCAAUGUUAUUAACCGAAUUGCCAUGUACAUCGAUCUUUCUUGGAUCUCAAGAUGUUAAGUAAACUCUUUAAUUAAGUUUUGUAAGAUGUUAAGUCUGUAUUUAAAUGUAGAGGGAGUGCACUAAGGUUACGUCGUUAAUCUUAAAUUUCUGACGAAGAUAACUAUUGAUUUUUAUAUGGAAUUUCAGUAAACACGUAUACGUAAUUUAAUAUAUACUUUCUCGUAGAAAUUUUUACUUGGACUCUUGAAUUGGUCUAACUUUUGUGACGAUGUCUUAUGUAAAAUAUUUUCAAACUUGUAGUUCAAUUGUAACAUUUUUAUUUCAAGUGAUAUGGCGGUAAAUGCGUAAUCUAUAGACUAUAGAAUGAAUAAUCUUUCAGAAAGUGAUUGCUAGUAUUAUACCAAAAAAAAAAAAAAAAACAAAACCUGAAAUAUUAUAUGGUGACUUAUAGAUUCGAUAAAAGAGUUUUUAUAAAUUCUUUAACGUAACUAUAUCGAUUGUUGGAUAAAAACGGACUCCACAAUCCGAGAAAUUUGCCCGACUCGUUUAAUAAUAUAUAGCAAUUUUGGACAUUAAAAUAUAAAAAAUAUUGUUAAUGUAAUAAGAAAUUGGAAUGUAUCCUCUUAUAUAUUGAAAGAGAAGUACAAUUUGACAUUGCAAAAUUAUGGUUAAAAUUUCCCAAAUUACCUAUCAAUUAUUGAAAAAGAGAACUUUUAUUGAAAUUAAGAGGGAUAAUUUAAGUAAAGUUGUUAAAUCAGUUUGAAAAUCUGACCCGAUCCGUAGGGGAUCCGCGCGCAUACAAUCAACACAAGAGAAAGUAGAAAGAGAAGAAGAAGAAGAAGAGUCGAUGAAGAAGAAGAUUUCGAUCAACAAGGUCAAAGAGAAAGUCGAAAGAGAAGAAGAAGAAUCGAUGGAGAGGAAGAACAAAAAAGCCCAAUUUCGAAUUUAGGGUUUUAAUGAUUAUAAUUCGGGUUCAAAAACUCAAAUCGGGUUUAGUCAAUCGUGGAACAGUAAACGCGAAAUUAAGAUUUUAAAACGUAAAUUAAGGAUAUUUAACAGCUUAAUCGAUUUUGGUUAAUUAAGUGGAAUUAUGUAGUUUAGGUGGAAUUGGGAAGCAAAAAAAAUUGUUCAUGUGGAAUUGGGUAGAGUGCUAAAAUAUAGGUGGAUCCAUAUAUAGGCAGCCCUAAAAAAACUAUAAUUAAAAUUAAGUAAAUUAAAUAAUACUUUUUCCUUUUUUUAGUAUCUCUCACGAGUGGGGGUGGUUUUACCAAGCUAAAUUUGUGGGUCCAAGUCCCAUCAUUUUGCCUUGGUCCAUUUUCUAUCGUUUACCUUCAUUCUUGCAUUUAUUGCUUUUGAAAUUUUCAAAAAAUUUUGCAUGAGUGUGGGGUUGUGCAUGCUCUUGCAUGUUCUUCUUCUCUCCCCUCUUCUCUUUCACCCUCCUCUCCAAUAUAAAGUGCGUCUAGUCAUUAAUUACUAGCCCUUUAUUUUGCAAAGAGUGUCAUUUUGGAUUUUCAAUACAUUUUUAACACUAAAUUUUCUUAAUUUUAUCUUUAAACUAAAAUUAAUUAAUCUAUUAAAUACAUAUUAAAUAAGGACAUAUAUAUAAUUAAUAUUUUCUUAAAAUAAUUAAUUAAGAAGAGAGAGAAAGUAAUAAGUGGUGAGACGAGUUCUUUAAAGAUGACUUGAAGAUUAUUGGUCUGUUUUUUCAUUAUUUAAAAUUUAAAUUUAAAAAUAAAUUUGUAUUGAAAAAUAUUAUUAUUUUUAUACGCGUUUGUAACAAUAUAAUGGCAAGGCCAUCUUUAUCGCUACAUCUUUAGGGGCCUUAACCCAAUUAAAAAGGCCAAAAUAAACAAACAGUGAAAUUACGAGGGGUAUUCAUGUUUUAUUUAGGACUUUUUAAGAGAGGGUUCCUCUGCCAGGUGUUAAUACGUGAGUGGCUGCGUAAAUUGUAAACGAAAAAAAUAAUCUUUUGAUGGUGGCUCUCUGCAGUCCCCGUUUGAUUCUUCUGGUGAUUUGGAAUAUGAUGAUGAUGACAUGAUGGAGUACGACGAAGAAGAAGGUGAUAGGGAGGCAAGCGACGUGUCUAGCUGCGAAGAGGGCCAAGAAUGGGACGUUGAUAGUUUCGACGAUGGAUUCGAUUACAGACCCAAACGGAAUCUGGAUCCCAACGAUGAGAUAGGUCAAAAGAUGGAUCGAUAUAGAUCUCAGAUGUACCGUAGCAAGGUCUUUACUCUUCCUGCUUUAACUUUUUUUUAUAAUGUCUCUUUAUCAAUUUCAUUCUUUAAGGACUGAUUUGUUUUAGUUUGAGAUUUGGAUGAAAACAUUGGUCUUGUGAUAGUAACAAUGUUGUCUUCCUCACCAGGGUUUCCAUGUGGAUCGAGAAAACUACCCUGGGAGUGUGAUGUACCGACCACUCGUUCCCAUUGAUCUUGAUAAACCAUUUUGGAACGCUGGACUUACAGGCCGUUCGGUCAUGCAGAACAUGGUGGAUCUGGCUCUAGAAAGAUACAACAGAAUCAAGGUUAGUUGGUUUAUUAGUACCUCUCAUCUUCUUUAGACUUUAUUGUACAUGAUUACAAUGCAAAGAAUUAAUCAGAAACUGGGAUACAAAGUAGUGAAAAAGAAAUUAUUGAGAGAUAGAGACCGGAGAUUGACCGAGAUUGACCGAGAUCGACGGUCGAGAAGAUUGCUCAAGAAUAUGGAAAUUAUGUAGAUUUGAAAGAAUCUAGAUCCUCUUAUUUAGGAUAUUUACAUUUAUGUAGAAAUGUAUUAUUUAUAUUAGUCAUUAUCUCAGUCUAGAAAAUUAGGUUUACUCCUAUCACUAUAUAUAUCGAUGUAUUAUGUAGCAUUAUAUUUAUGAGAGUCUAAUAUAAUUCUUCCUCUAAACACUUUUGUGUUCUUUACUCUCAUCAAUUGAUCAGAAAUUGAUUAUUGUUUGGCCAAAAUAUCUACUGCUUUGUUGUUUGAUUGUUUUUUUUCAUUUUUUUUGUCAUCAACUUUGUUGUUUGAUCUUGGUGUCCAACAAAAUUUGACUGAUUCAAAUUUUUGUUUCCAAUGUAUGGUUUCUUGAAUCCAAUUGUAAUAAGAAAAGUUGUGAUUCCUUUGAUGUAGCAUGUCAAUGGCUUGUUUAGUCCUUCCAAUAUUACUCGCUGAUGUGCUUGAUUUCAAGUUUUCGUUUUGGAAGCAUGUUACGAUCUUAUAUAUAUAUGUUUCUUAAUUACAUGAUAUCACUAAAUCACAAGAGACACAUCUCUUCUUAAAGAAUCUUGAAAUCAAUAACAUAGAGAUUUCAAUAAUUAAUUUAAACAUCAUUGAAAGACUAUAUUAGAAAAAUAAUAAUGUGAAAUUCAAAGGAUCAUUUGCUGUCUUUCACAUUCACAUAUCAUCCCUGAAAGUAAGAUUACAUUGUACAUUGUCGUACCAUAAAUUCCCCCUAGAAAUCUUUAAAAAAUACUAAAGCAAAACCCUUUCUUAAGAAUCAAAAAAAUCAACAAAAGCUAAAACCUUCUCAUUGAACAAGAAGGUUCUUCUUCCUAGGAUCUCUCACUUCAAUCUCCCAAUGCCUAUCAGGCAAACUACUAUUCUCAGCAAUUCUUCUCCACUUCUCAAUCCUCUUCUCCAUAUUCUUAUUCAAACCACAAUAACCCUUCAACUGAUCUGACAUCUUGUCAUACACUUUCCACCAUUUCUCGUGCACCGAAUCGCUUGCAAACACGCGCCUCGCGCUCAUGUCCCAAUUGCAAUCAUAGUCUCUAUAACAUACCCAUGGCUUCAAUCCCAAGUAAUGCACACCUUCAAGAUUCUCUGGAAGAUCAUGUGUUCUUUGGCUUUUCUCAUCAAAGUACUUCAUUGUGUUCACACGUUUUGGUAGCCUGUGCCACCAUACAAAUAUCUCAUUGAGGAAUCCUUGGUCUCCUCCAUUGUAUGACUCAAUCUUGAACGAUUUCUCCAUUAGAUCUUUAAACAUACAUUCUGAUGGCUCAAGAACCUGAUGCCAAGAAAUUUUUUUUCAAAAUAUUAUAUUCAAGUGAAACUUUAAAUAUUAAACCUAGGUUUUUUAGGCCAAAUGCGUCAACAUAUGUAUGUGACCAUAUCAAUUUAUCGAAAAAUAAAAUAAAAUUUUGACUAGUAUUGGCAGGAUUAUUACCAUGAUUCCUGAGUUGAACAAGACUUUGUCAUUGCCUGAAGCUGAGAGUUGUGGAUAGUAAAAGAGAUGAUCAAGUUUCUUGAGGAUGAUGAAAUCUGCGUCUAUGAACACAAGUUUAUCAUAGUCAGUUACUUGCCACACACGUAAUUUGCUAUAGUUCCACUCAUUGUAAGAGUCCUUUUUCGAAAAAGGGCUGCGGAUUCUAUCGAUCAGCCGGAGAUUCCAUCCCGCAGCGCUUAGACCGAUAAGAGACCUGUUGGUUAUAGUGUGGUCAUGGAGGAGAAUCAUGUCCUUAUGAGAUCCUGAUUGUCUUAUACUUUGCGCUAAGGCUAUUGCUCCACAAACAUAGGCUUCUGAAGAGUGUAGUACUGUCACGUAGGCCACUCGUAAGCGACGAGGUAAGGCUAUGGAUGCCUCGGAUGCAAGUUUGACAUCAGUUUUUGGUCUCCAUGCUUCUUGCCCUGUAAAUGACAAUAGUUUAAAAUUUACAAGUGAGAUAACGAUUAAGGAAUAUUUUGAUAAAUGAAUGAAUGAGAAGAAAGAGUAAAACGAGGAAAAUAUGGUGAACAAGUAGGGUAUAAAGUUGUUAGAGCUAAGCUUUUCAAUUCCCACUUAAUUUAAAAACUGGGUAUGAUAAUUUAUGAAUUAGUAUAGACAUAUAUAUUUUAGGUUCCACAUUGACUAUAUACAAUUGAAAUUUGUUGUAAAAAAUUUAUCAUAAAAAUUUGAGACGUUUCAUACAAUUAUGUUAUCUAGCUAAACAAAAGCGUCAAUGUCAAGUAAUUGAAAACACAAAGAAUUUUAGUUUUAAUAAAAACUUUGACAAAAAAUGUUAGUGGUUUUAUGUGGGACGACACAACUAAUGUUUAUGCUAUUUAAUUUAAAUAUGCAGAAGAAUCAAUGUUAAGAUCACGUCAACAAAACUAUAUAUGCAUACUGUGAUGCACGAUCUAAUUGCACCAACCAUUAACCUUCUAUUACUUUAUAUACCAACUUUUCAUUUAAAAACAAAGUACGUGUUAGCAAUAUAUGAUCUACCAAAACACCUCUCCUAAAGAAACUUCACCAAGAAAAAAAAAAGCAUAUUAUAUAAAAAAAGAGCAUAUUAAUCACAUAAAAUGAUUAAUUAAUAGUGGAAAUUCUAUAAAAAUGUAAAAUGAAGAGAAAAAAAAAAAUACUCUAAACGAUUACUAUCUACGUUUUCUGAAAGAAAUGGUGAGAUAAUAUUUCAAAUAUAUGUUAUGAAAAAUUUAAUAAAAUAAUAUAUUUUACCAAACAUAGAGAGGGGAAAAAAAUAAUAACUUACCAAAUUGAGCAAAUGGUGGAGCAAUGCGACAUGAACCAACAGGCAUGAGAAGCUUCUGCUUCAACCUUGGGAUAUAAGGCUUAUACACCCAGUAAUCAUCAACCCGCCUAACUCGUUCAUCGCACUUAAAGAUCUCAUGCAUAGGUCCACAUGAGCCAAUGAACACAACGUACACCGUUGCAUCAACCCUUCCCAUGGCCAUACCACUCUGAACGGCUAGAUUCGCCACGGCCAAGUUAACCUGAAGCCUGAAAACAUCUCUAACCCCUUUAUUCUCCGACCAUCCAUCACAUGGAACUCUAGCAACAAUAACGUCCACGUCAACAUCAGAACCUUGUAGCUUAGGGAGAGGUAUCUCCGGACAGUUUGAAACUUCUUCAUUGAUCCACUCCGGGUAAAGACUCUUCCAAGUAACAUUCUCCGGUAAAGGAUCUAGCGACACGUGGACGUUCUUUAGUAUCGACGGUCCACGAGCCUCGUAGCUCUCACGCUCUUUCUCUUCGAGGUUAAGGAAGCCGACUUGGAUCUUCUUUCCCGGUAGAUAGUCACGGACGAGUCGGAGCCAUUUCGGGUUUUGGCUUACUUGAGGAGAAGGGAGAUUAAUCCGUAACGUUGAAGAUGGAGAAGUGAUCUUUAAAAGAGGUUUAAAAGGUAAGAUCAAACCAAAAAGUGAUAAUGAGAUUAGUAUUAGAUAGAUCAUGAAUAUUUUCCCUCUAGAAUUAUGAGUUUUUGCACCCAUUUUUUGUUUUUGAUACCUAUAAGUUUGUACACGCAUUUUUAUUUGUAAGGAUAUAAAGAUUUAUAUGCACACUCGUGACUCGUGUGUGUUGAAAAGGCUCAUUUGCAUGGACGCACGUUGGUGUGAAAAGUCAAUAUAUAUGUCUCUCUCUUGUUUAUGGUUGGUGUGAUUAUGUUAAUUGUUAAAUCUCACGCAUGUAAUGGGAGCGUGUGUUAGUGUUAUACUUAGAGAAAGUUUUAUAAGAGAUUCUUGAGUAUUUGUUGGAGACUAGUCCAUUGAGUCUAGAAAACUCUUGAGUAAAAACAUUUUGGUUCACAUAACACAAAAUAGCGAAAGAAGAAAAAUAUAUGAUGAUUUGCUUUUGAAGGACAUGCUUUAUUAAGAAAAGUAUCAUAUUAUGCAUGUUUACGUUUUAUCUUGAAAUGGGAAUGAUCUACUAUGUAUAAUUGACCAAUCCUUGCUACAAUUCAAAAUCAUAUCCAUUUCAUUAUGUUUUAGUUAUCAUAUAAUUUUAAAAUUUAUUGGUGAAAUCAGCAAAAUUUGUAUUACAAAUUAAGUAGGAAAUCAAAAACAAAAUUUUGAAACAUUAUACAGAUAUUAUGUAUAUAUUUAAUUGGAAAUUAGUAUAUAAAAAUAAUAUUUAUGAAUUAUAGUAAAAGAAGUCAAAAUGGAGAAAAUGACACACAUAUAUCUUGCCACUUAAAUAUUGAACCUGAUUUUUGAGUUUUGUGGAUUUCCUAAGUAAUAUAUAUAUAUAUAUAUAUAUAUCUUUAACUUUUCUCUCUUCUCCUUCCGCCACAUCAUCCGCCAUAUCAUCUGCCACAUCAUAAUUUUUUAUUAAAAGUUUUUACAUUUGUUUAAAAUUACAACAUCCUACUUUUUGACUUUUAACACUCUAUGUCAUUUUUACCUCUCUUCAACAUCAUAAUUUAACUUUAUUUUAUUUUUAUAGUCAAUAGUGGUUUUAAGAAAAUAAGUACUAUAGUAAGAAAAAUCUAGGUCCAAAUUAAAUAAAAAGGGGAAAUUUCAAAAUUACCCCUUUUUAAAUACUACUUAUUAAAAAUACUCAUUUUUCAAAAUUUAUCAAAAAGUACUAUCUAUCUAUAAAGUAUUGAAAAUGAUGAAUUUUCAUAUAAAUUAUUGAUUUAUAUUAUAUGUAUAUAUAUAAUAAUUCAUUAAGAAAUAAUUAAGUUUAAAUAAUUAGGGCGAAAAAAUCAUAAAUCUUAAUUGCCACUUAAAACUUAACACAUGACAAAGAAUAGUCCACUCAAUCAAAAUUCACGCUGUUGUAAUUUAUCAACAUCAAAGAAUAUUUAUGUAUAUAAUAAUUCAUUAAGAAAUAGUUGAGUUAAAUAAUUAGGGCGAAAAAUAUCAUAAAUCUUAAUGGCCACUUAAAACUUAACACAUGGCAAAGAAUACUCCACUCAAUCAAAAUUCAUGGUAUUGUAAUUUAUCAACAUCAAAUUUGCCACAUCCUUAACAAUAUUUUUACAACAAUCAUUGCACUCUUUUCAACUCUUGAAUAUUUUUUUACAUCAAGCUCAUUGUAAAUAGUCUUAUUAACUCAGCAUAUUUCAUUUCAUUUCAAUUAAAUGGUUCGACAUUCAAUUCAAAUUGUAUUCAAUAUAAUUAAAAAGCUUACAAUAAUUUUCUGAUUUAUGGGUCUAAAACAAAAUAAGGACAUUUAUUCUAUACAGAUAGACAUACUACUAAAUUGAUGUCAUCCGAAGCCACCUCAAGUGAGAACAAAACUGAUUUAAGGCACAAGAAAAAAAAACCUAAAACACAAAAUCAAAAUACUAGGGAAAACACAUCAGUGGUCUCGCCGACCAAAAAAAACGGCGUACUCAAAAUAAUAACUUGGGCUACAAGAAUUGAAACCUUAUGAAAUAUAAGGUUCUAACACCUACUAUUGGGAAUAAAUCAAAAUUUAAACAAACAACAAAAAAAUUUUAAAUAAUAAACUAAUAUAAAAUUCAAAAAGAAAAAAUCAUACGAAAAAAUAACAAAAAUGAAAACAGUAACAAAACAAAAAAAAAAUGAAAUAACAAAAUAUAACAAGACGAAAAUUAUAAACCUCCCGCGCGCAGAGCGGGUCAAAAAUUAUAUAAAGUUAACUUUCUUUCUUCUCAUUCCGCCACAUUAUCUGCCACAUUAUCCGCCACAUCAUCAUUUAUCUUUUUUCUUCUAAAUAUAUAAAUAUCAUUAAAAAUAAAAUUUAAGGUUCUACAAAAAAAUCUAUAAACGAGUUGCCUUGGCUAAAAAGAAUAAAAACAAGGUUACAAUAUAAUUAAACAAGAUUUGGGUUAAUAAAUGCAUAAAAGCAUGAGUUUGCGGCAACACUUCCUUAAUCUUCUUGCGAUAUGAUACUACGAAUUAUGCGGUCGAUCAACUUGAAGAUUACUUGAGGAGACAAACUCUCGGAGUUAUGCAAAACGUUGUUGCGCUGCCGCCAAAUGUUGUAGAAUAUCGCUGGAGAUGUUAGCUUCUGAAGGGAGUAGGGGCUUUCGGAGAAGUGAGUUGAGUCCAAGAGAGCAGCUCCGACCACGAGGCGAAGAGUCGCUGUCAAGGGCAGAGCUAGAAAAGACCAACAUCCAAACCUGGGAAGAAUAAUCAUAAGCUAGGAAGAGAUGGUCCCGAGAUUGUGAAACAAACGAAUAUAGACAAUAGUUUGAUGACGUUUACGAAAAAAAAAAACUACAGCUUGAUGACUGAAUCUGUUCCCAAGAAACAAGACUUUGCCGCAUACGCAAUCUAUCAAGGUGGAACACUCUGUGGUUCCAAGCGGUAGUUAGGAUCACGAGAAAGGGAGCCGCUAGCAAGAAUACUAUAAGCAUCAACAACUUUAACAUUCAGCAGGAUGCGCAAAGAUCUAGCACCAUAGUCUCUCAGCCUCGUGAGUAGAGGACGAAUACCAGCCCAAUAAUCUUAUUUACUCAGCCCAAUUGUAUAUAAUCCAAUAAAAAGGCGAACAAUAAUUUUCUGACGUAUGGGCCUAAAUACAAAACAGAGGCAUAUAUGUUAUGCAAUAGAUAUACAAGUAAAGUAAUCUAUAACGCUCCAGCUGUAACUUCUCUAGUGGGCCCCAAGUUUACUCUCAACCCAUGGAUCCACCUCCCUUAAUGGGCUUCAUGUUCUCUCACUAUGCCAGUGAGCCCAUCCAUAUCCGACGGUUGGUCUGCUACGUCCUAGUGGCUUAAUGACUUUUUACCGACCCUAUAAAUCACCACAUGAUCGUUCUCUGUGUUUUGGCCUCACUCACACAGUACCACUUCCCGGAAAGUCACCCAUCAUUUGACUACUCCAGCAUAAGCACGUUUAACUCUAGAGUUCUUUCAGGACCCUUGAACGAAAAGAUAAGUGCACUUUAGUGACACAUGUGUCCAAAUCAAUUAAUUUAAACCUCUUAGAAAACUGGGGUCUCACAAUUCUCCCCCAUGAACAGGCCGCAACGUCCUCGUUGCUCACCAAGACCGUCACCCCAUGACAGUGUGAGCUCACUACACUACACUUUUCUGGGUUCGGCUAUGAUACCAGUUGUAACGCCCUGACCGUCACCACUCUUGUAGGCCAUGUUCACUCUCAACCCAUGGGUCCACCUCUCUUAAUGGGCCUCAUGUCAUCUCAUUAGGCCCAUGAGCCCAUCAAUUUCUGAGGGCCGGUCUGCUACGUCCGGGAGGUUUUAAACACUUUUUUAUCGAUUCUACAAAUCACCAAAUGAACUUUCUAUGUGUGUUGGCCUCAGUCACACAGUUCCGUCAUUUACUUACCGGAGAUCACCCGUCCUUUGACUACUCCAGCAUAAGCACGCUUAACUCCGAAGUCCCCUCAGGACCCUUGACCAAAACAUAAGUGCACUUUGGUGACAUAAGUGACCAAAUCAAUUCAUUUCAACAUCUCUGCAAACCGGAGUCUCACAUAAUCUCAUUAGUAUCCUUUCUCUCCUUUGUUCUCAAGCAUUUUAAUAAAAUCAUUUGAUUUUACUGCUUUCGAAGCAAUUGUCGUCGUCAACGCGACAAUGAUUACAACAUACACGGAAACAAGGAGUCCAAUCAUUGUCUUGUUCUCCAGCUUUUGUUGUGACCUCAACAAUUAAGGGAGGGACAGGGCCACCACAUUUGAUUUUACAGCUUUCGAAGCAAUUGCUAUCGUUAUCGCAGCAAGGACUAGAACAUAGACGGGUACAAAGAAUCCAACCAUUUUCUUCUUGUGCAGCUUCUAUUAUGACCACAACAGUCACCACCAUCAUUAUCAAUAUGAUCGCAAACCACUUUGCCAUUGUCUUUUCUACCUUCUUAGAUCUUUUAUCUUUUUUUUUAUUUUGAGAAUGGUAUAUUAUUUUUCAUGAAACCAAACUCUAAUUUAAUAGGUGAUUGGAUACAUUCAUCUCUAUGAUUUUCUUUUUGCUUAAUUUUAAGUAGGUUAUAUUCUUAGGUUGACCAUGCUUUGUUUUUGUGAUUUGUUACUUUAUUCUCAUGAUUCAUUGCUAUAUUAAUAAGACAUGAUUUGACAGUUUUUCCAAUCCCAUAUUAUAUACAAAGGACACAAUUUGUUUGAUAUGGAAGGCAUCAAUUUCGCAUAGAAACUUUCAAAACAUUUCUCAGGAAUAUCCUUUUAAUAUGCAUACUCGAUAGAAAAUCUCGUUCACUACUACAAUAUAAUAAUAAUAGAUGUGUAAAUGGUAAAUCUACUCUUGGAGAACAAGAGAGUAUAAAGUUUAUU